rnacentral:lncRNA from 1 species
AAUUGGAUUGAGCUUAUUUAUAGUUAGCGCUGAAAACUAGCCGUUAUUGACUUUUUGCUCACUGUCGAAUCGCCGUUAACUAGAUGUCGGAUCGCCGUUUGACUGGUCAAUAUGACCGUUGGGCUAGAUUUUCAAAUUGUUAGAUCGUUGUUAUCUAGAUGUCGAAUCACCGUUAGUGGCCAGAGGCUACUCUUUAAUUCUGUUUGAUAUCGGCGAGCCGUUUAUCAAAAUUGUCGGAUCGCCGUUUAGGUCCAGAGGCUAAUCUUCAAUUCUAUUAGAUGUCGGCGAGCCGUUAUCAAUAUGUCGGAUCGCCGUUUUCUACAGUAACUGCUACAGUGACUGCUACAGUAAACUAUUUUGUAAAAUAACAGUUUGAUCCCAAAACUUUAUAUAAUUGUACCAUGACCCAAAACGUUAUACAUUUAGCAAAUAAAUCCAAUUUCAGAAUUUCUAAAUAAUGCUUAUUUUUCCUAAAAUUUUCUGAAAUUAUGAUAUAGCUCAAAUGCUAUGAAUACUUUUCAAAUAAAUACUUUUCAAGCAUUACUUGUUGAUUUCAAAGUUUUCAAAACUCUUUCAAUUAAACCAUAAACUUGAAAAACAAAUAAUUUCAUAAAAUCAUUUUUCCAUUAAAUAUAAAACCUUUAAAAUGUGAAAAUAAUGAUUUAUUUAAAAUGUAUAAAAAUAAUUUGAGCUUCUAAAAACUGAAUCAUUCUUAAUUUUGUUCGUUAUCAUCAAAAUCAACAUUAUGAAUACAUAAAUGUUAACAACAUCAUCACAUGACAUUUUAUUAGCAGUAAUGAUAGAAGCAAGAUCUAAAUAAUUAGGUCCCAAUCCAUUGAAGACUUGCAUUAAUAAAUCUCUCUCUAAUCAGGGCUACUAGCACAUGCAUGUUUGUCAGCAAGAAUCUUAACCUUCAAGAAAUAUUCUUGAACACACAUAGAUUCAUUUCUAAGCACAUUCAUCUCAUAUCAAAGCUGCAUUAUCUUAGCUUCAUAUUAAGCUCCAAACUAUUUUUUAAUAGAUUUUCAUACAUCAUAUGAAUUUCACAACUAAGAACUGAACUCAAAAUACCUUCAUUAACAGAGGACAAAAGCUAAUUGAGAAGAGUUUGAUCUUGAGCUCGCCAAUUGAUGUAAGCUGGAUUAUUAAUUUUCUGCAUCAAUCCAUCAACUGUUGUUUGUGAGAUAUAAUGUCUGGUAUAAUUUGAUCCUCGAUAUGAAAUCUUAAAGUCUAUUUUCUCUUAUUAAAGCAAGAACUUGUUUCUUCCAAAGCAAGAAAUUAGAUCAAUCAAGCUUAACUGGAGAGCUGAAUGAAAAGGAAAUCUAUGAAGUUUGAUUCAUGAAUAUUGAAUUUGGACUUUAUGUUGUUCUACUUGAACUAGCCAUGAUUAUGGCUUUGAUACAAAGAAAGAAAUCAACAUAAAGUUGUUUGGUUGCUGAGAAAAUAUCUCAAAACAUUCUAGAAUUCUUAUUACUGAGCUCAUUACAAAAUGUUCAAUUACAUUCAAUUUAUAUACUCUGCAGUACAAUAGUAACUAAUUCAUAACUAAGUAAAGUGAUUAACACGAGCUAAGUAUGCACACAGUGUUUGUAAUUGAUUUUAACAACUUAGGAUGAGCUAGUAGGUACGUUGUCACUUUGCUUACUAUCACAUGCUUGGUACACUUUCUCAGCUUAAGCUUCCCUUUCUUCUUCUAUGUACAAUGAGCUUCCUUAACAUACAAUAAAACAAACAAUUAUCAGGCAAUCAUUCUAUAAUCACACCAAAAUGACAAUUUUGCAGUCUUCAAAACUCUUUAAUUGAGCAUAUAUUUAAUUUUCUAAUUUAUCUACUUGUAAUGUCUAUAUAAGCUGAAUUGUUCAAUUAUUACUCAAGUGAAAUACAAAUUUCUUUUCUUAAUCGAACAUGGUAUAAAGGUCUUAUUUUCAAAAUAAUAUUUCCAUCAUCUUUGAUAUCAAAGAUUUCAUUUAACUCUCACAACUUUUAUCAUGUCGUUUACUAUUAAUUUAACCAUUAAAACUCUCCUUAUAUAGUUUUGCUUUUCCUGGAGGUUAGUUCCCCAUAUUCUAUCAUAAACACUUAUAAAAUAAAAAUAAAACUAAAGAUGACAAAAAUUCCCAAGGGAGUUGGUCCUCAAGGAUACUUCCCAUAUGGAGAGGAGAUGGAUAGAAGUUAAUACUUAAUUUCUUAUUUGGGAAGGAAUGAAGAUAAUGUAUGUAUAUAAAUAAAAUAACGAUCUUAAUAUUUAUAAAAUAAUAUAGAAAGAGAUAAUUUGAAGGGUAAGGCUAUUUGCACUUAAAAAUAUGCUUUUAAAGUAUGCUUUGAAUACUCAUGUUUUAAUUACAAAAUUAUUACAAAUAUUCCCCUAAUGAAAUUUACAAUUAAGAACAAUUAAAUGUAAGUGAAUAAAUAAUAUUAUUUGGAACACUUAGUUUACUAUACAUCCAUCUAACGCAAAAUCAUCUUUCUCUAAACCAAAAUUUCUUCCUCAAUAUGACUUUUAUGAAGGAUAAUUUUGGAAUUUACAAGAAUGCGUAUGGUAAAAAUUAUUUUUUUUAAAAAAAAAUGAAUGUAAUAAAAAGUGCUCAAAUUAUAUUUUCGAGUGCAGAUACCCUCACUCUAAUAUAAAAACUUAAUAAAGUUUGUCAAUGCAUCAAUUCCAUACAGAAAUAAAACUUUGUUUUGUUGUAAUAUUGACUAUAUUAACUUAGUUUGAUAUGAAUGUUUUAAUUUAAAAUAAUUUAUUUUGAUAAUUUUGUGUUGAUAAUAUAAUUUAUACUUUUAUUGUAAUAUGAUUAUAUCAAAUUCAGAAAAUAAAAUUGUCAGUUUUUUCUGAAAAUGGGUGCCCUCAAGAACCCGUCUCUCUUCCCCUCAAGUAAUUAUAAUGGGAUAGGAAGCGUACAGGGACUUAAGCAAAAUGUUGGGGACCGGUAUAGUCCCCUUUGCCAUCCUUAAAAAAAACUUGAAAUAGAAAUCAUUCUUUAUUUAUUUAUUUAAAUUGGAGGGGUGGAUAAAGUUCAAACAAGUUUUUUAAUAACCUAUCUUUUUUAGAAACUUAAUCGGGACGACCAGUCAAAUAAAACUGUUUGAGGACCACUCAACUAUGAAAUGAAAAUUAAAUUAAUAAACAAAUUAUGAUCUAUCGGAGAGGGAUGACGCUAACAUCAUCCAAAACAGGUCCGCACACAUGCCAAUAAUCAUGCAGCCUGGUGUGAUAAUAUGCACUAUAAAAAGUAAUCCUUGUCCUGGAAGAUAUAGCCUGGAAUAUGAGACUUGCUUUCUUGAAUCCUCCUUUUCCAACAGAAUCAUAAGGAGCUUUUACGGUUUCAUUGGCAGCGAAUGCUACGAUAACCAUCGAGCCAUGGCAAGCGUUCUUGGCGUCUCCAAUGGUGAAUGUAAGCUUGUAAAACUUGUUAGGAAUUGUUCGGAUGAUUUGUGCAAUGGCACUUUCUCUUCCUGCAACAAUCUCAAUGGCUGAGAAUCCUGAGGGGACAAAGAAGUGCUUCUUGUCAAUGUAUUUUACGGGCUUCAGGGAUUCGAUGAUCCAUCCUGGGAGUGGUGAAAUUAGAUCUUGUAACUUAGGAGGCAGGAGGACACCAGUUGAGAAGUUCUUGAAUGUGUGAGGUCCAAUUUCAAAGCCUCCGUUUUUCACUUGGUUACCUGCGCAUGCAUAUGGACACAGAUAUUUUAGUAUACAUGAAUUUGCUACACACACACACAUAUAAAAUUUAAUUAUAGCACAAAAAAAAAAAAUCCACACACAUAUAAAAUUUAAUUAUAGCACGACACAGAUAUUUUAGUAUACAUGAAUUUGCUACACACACACACAUAUAAAAUUUAAUUAUAGCACAAAAAAAAAAAAUCAACAUAUCUUUACCGUAUUCUUAUAUUUUAAGACAUUGAUUAUUUUGAAAAAUCCUCUAUCUUAAGUUUUUAUUUUUAGCAAAUACUGAUUGGUUAUACUAAAAAGAAAAAAGAAAAUAAUAAUUAAAUUAACACGAGCAUUCAUAGGUUUUAAUGUAUAAUUUGCAUUAAGAUGUUGAAGAGUGUUUAGAUCCGGAGAUGACCAUUGUCUAAUAAUAAAGGAACACAAAAUAUAUGUUUAAGAUUAGGUAAUAUUAUUCUUUAAACUAAACCAAUGAGCAUGUAACAGAAGAUUUUUAAAAAAUUAGAGAACUAAUAGAAAAAUCAUGUAUCCUUAAGUAAAAUUACAUUAAAUACAAUUUGGCGGUUGGUUAUAGUUACUUAAAAAAGAAAAAAUAAUUGAAUAAAACAUAAACAUACAUAAAUUUUAACGUAUAUAACGCACAUUAAAAUGCUAAGGAAAGUUUAAAUCGGGAGAGUAUCAUUAUUACCCAAUGAAUUAAUAAAGGACCAAGAAAUAUAAGAAUAAUCAAAAUCAUACUUUGCACUAAGACCAAUAUACACGUGACACAAAAUUUUUAGAAGUAGCCAAUGAGCGAUCCUAAUUCAUAAAGAAACUCACCUUUGGUAUAUUUUAGAGGCAGCAUCUCUUUGAUGGCAACAGCGUCCAAGAGAGGCCCACAAGUGGGAUCCUCCUGAAUACCUGGAUUAUGAAACAUCACCUUGACAACAUCAGAAGUUGCCUUGAAAGCCCAUGCAUAAGUGUCACCUCCACUGCUACUAUAUAGUGUCUGAAUUGGAAGGUCACUCGACUGACCAGGAACCGAGACUCUAAGCAUUUCAUCCUGAGCACAAGUCCUAGUGGUUCCAAAAGUGAGGGAGUAGAUUGAGCCUCGCUUCACCCUCACAUUCUGAGAAAUGGAAGCCUCAUUGCCUAGCCUCACUGCAUGAACACCGCGAGGGACAGCAAAAUAGAAGCCGCCGGGCUGCGGCCCGCCUGAGAUGUACUCCACCAAACCGCUGAUUUCCCAUUUGGGAAGUGAAUACUUUCCGAUUAUCACUGUUUUAUUGAGGUUUGAUUUUUUCGGUGAGAGUUCAAAGUUUCCAUUUGGCAGAAGUGCUGCAGAUAAAAAUAAACAUUAGACCAAAAUUUUAUGUACAUCAGAGACAUAUCUUCGGUGGAAUAAUAAGUCACUGAUAUUAUGUGUGUUUUUUUUUUAAAUUAAGAUUCUACCACAUAAAUAAUGGAUAUUUCUUUCUUGAAUUAGAAGAACAACAUUAAUCUGACUAAAAUGGCUAAAAUUGCAUGGCAAGACACAUCGAGCGCUCGAACAAUUAAAAAAACUCAGUAUAAGAUUAUUGAAUUCCCAUUAACUUAACUUAUAUUAAAAAGUUAGCUUAAUAGUUGAGGGUUACCCCACACUUAAAUAGUUAGCUAAAUAACUAUUUUCAGCUGAUGUAACAUAAUAUCCUCAAAGUAAGAGAGGGAGCCAAAUAAGCAACCCAUCCGGCUGUUUUUUAUUUUAGUUUUUCAAUAAUGGUACACAUGUCAUAUUAUUUUUACUUCCAUGUACAACGGUAGCUUAAUUAGCAAAUUAAAACAUAAUCAAAUUUGUUACAGGGUUUUUUAUGUGCUACAAAAUGAAAAUAAACAAGCAAAAAGUAAGGAUCCGACAAAUGCUUACUGUCAAGAUAUCGAGGAGGAUGAAUAACUCGAGUGGUAGCAGAGCCACCAUUGCUUAGAGCUGAGAAAACGAGUGCAAAGCAAAGAGAGUGAAACCAAGCCAUUUUUUCUAUGAUGAAGAAGCAAGUAGACUGAAUAGGAUACUUAUAGAAUGAGUUAGUUCAACAAGAUCAGUACGCAAAUAAUGAUUUUUAUAUUGAAUUUGAAGACAAAAGCAAAGAAAGAAAAAGAAGAAAAAGAAAACCACGUUAUAGGGCCACCGAAUUAGCCGCGAGAAGUGUCCCUUUGUCCAAGCAUUUCCCAAAUCUCAAGUCUUGUAUUUUCACACAAAUUUCUUCAUUAAUGCGUUGGAGCCCGGCCCACAUGAAGUUUCAUUACUGGUUGCCGUGAUUUGCUGCUACUUUGAAUUCUAUCAACUAAUAUUUUGAAGUACAUAUAAAGUACAGAUUCUAUUUCAAUACAGAGGCACAUGCUGCCAAUAAUAGCAGUACAAUACUUUACAAUCUUUCGCAUUAACAGAUAAUAUAUUUAAUCAUUCUCAUAAUCAAUCCAACAAGUACAAGUUCGUCCAGAAGGUUGACCUUGAUUGAUAGGGCAUGUGAUCUGCUAAAUCAUAUGAAGUUUUCUUGAUAUUGAAUUAUCAUGGAAAUGGUACAUGGUUUAUUGGAGAUGGUGGAAAUACUUACAUUGAAAUUGAUGAGGAGACGUAAAAGAGGCUAUAUUAUUAAUGUAAUUUAUAGGUCUUCAACAGAUUAGAUCGACUUCAUUUAGUGUUUGCAUUUAAAGUAACAGACAAUGAAAUUAAUGAUUAGAAAUUUAAUAUGAUUGUAAAUGGCAGCCAAUCCACAGAUUUAGAGUGAUUUUACAUGUUCUUGUUCAUUCUUUAUUUUGAGUACAUAAAGCCUUCGAGAAAUGCUGGAGUGUAGACUGCGGCACAUUUUUCCUUUAUUGUUAUAAUCUACAGAAAUUUAUUGGGAUUUCAAGUUUUAUUUAAGAUUGGCUAAAAAAUAUACUGCCGCUAACAACAUUUGAAGACAAAUAUACCUUCAUUUUGAGAGAAUGAGAUAUGAGCCAUCCGACCUGACUGUGACACUUAAAUAAAUAAUUAUGUAGAAGUGAAAUAAUAAAAUGAUUAGCAAUUUUUUUUGUGAACAGAUUAUAUAUAGGCAUACAAUUUUUUUUUUUCCUACCACUUCAUAAUUUCUUGUUAAAUGCUGCAAUUUUGAACUUCGUCGAUGGGAAGAGAGCAAUUACAGAGGCCUCAAAUGAUAAUUCCACCCUGAGUCAUGCUACCAGAUCAAUCCCUUGCAUUUGGCUUCCAAGAAUGCUCUCUAUUUAUAUAGGAAAAGAAACCUGGCAGUUGUCAUGAUUUUACGAGACCAAAUCCGGUGAAAUGGCCCACAAUUUGAGUUGUAUAAUCUUGGCAAUUGAAUGUGAAUCCUCCGAUUUGUAAGCUUGCUAAAAACGUGGCAAUUGAAAAUUGGUCUAUUUUAACACUCAUUAAUUAAAUGGCCAUGUGAAAAUGUCGAGCAAUUUUGUUGGUGCUUGGCUAGAAUGAGCUUGGGGAAUCGUUGGUCGCCUGUUGUUUCGAUAAGCCACAAAAGAUUUUCCACUUUUAUCAUUAUUCAAUCCAAUAAUUGAACAGCUUCAAACAAAAUAAAACUCAUGGUGACUGUUCUGUAGUAUGCUAACAAUUGCUUAGUACCUUUUUUUUUUAAAAAAAAUGAGGUGAUUUCAAAAUCUCAACAAAAAAGGCUUGAAAAAGGUUUUUCACGUCAAGUUACAAUCCUUUACUCGAGAUCGAGUAAAUUCACGAAGUUUUAUUGAUGUUCUCUCUUAAAUUUUUAUGAAUAUAUUCCUUCGUAAUUUUGAAAAUUCUUCUCUCAAGAUGGAAAUGAUAUUUUAAAAUUUAGAUUCAGUUAGUAUGAUUGUUCGGAUAUUUUCUUCUUAAUUACUGGUCUUUUUCUUUUUCAAAUGCUAUAUAUAAAUGUUUCUUUUAAUGGUUAAUGCUCACAAUGUUCCCUAGGCUGUAUUUAGGUUCCUUUCACUAUAUAUUUCAAUAAAUCUCCAAGCUCACGAAAGCUUAAAAAAAAUCAGCUGAGAGAAUCUUUGAGGUUUGUAUUCCUUUUCUUUCUUUCGUUCAUUCUUUCCUUUUUAUUCGUUGUGCUUUCAUAUUUCAAUGUUAGGCUGGAUUCAAGAAUGACGGAAGAGCCCAACCCGUCUCUUGGCCCAAUUUAUCCAACCCUUAGUUUAAAGGGGUAGGGUUUUUUAAGGACUGGGGCCCUCCGACCCAUUGCCAAGCCUCAGCGAGAAAGUUAACAAUGAAAAUAAAUUCAGCGAUCUUGCCAUCAUUCGUUUGGAUGUUAGUUCAAGAUUAUAACGAACAACAAUAACAACAAAUAUGAGGACUGAUAUUCUUAAUAAGACCAUCAAAAUAUCUCAAUCAACAGGAAUAGUGAGCAUUUCCUUGUAAAAUAGAAAGAAAGCUAUGACAGCGCGCGAAACAAGAAUUGAACGAAAAAUAAAAUAGAACAAAGCAAGAGUUAGUGAAAACAACAAUUCGGAAAGUCCUAAAUAUCUGAAGGCGGAGAGCCCCACAAAACAAAAUCAUGUUAUAUUUGUACGUUCGCAAACCGUCUUAUUAGGAAUAUUCUUGAUUAAUGUUUCUUUACGUGGGUUUCAAUUAUCUUAGUUUAUGGUUUAUAAAAAAGGGGUAGUUAACAAUAUUCUUAACUACCGAGUACUGAUCAUGAUAAGUUGCUUGUGAAUAGAAUCGUAUUUGAUGAGUUUUAUAGGCUAUGUCUGCGGUGCACGGUUUCAUUAUAUGAUUUUGCUAUUACCGAAAAAAUAUAAUGUCACUAGAUAUCAAAUGAUAUCUAUUAUCUAUGUAAGAAGUCAAUUUGAUAUAUGAUAAAUAUAUCAAUGAUUUAUCUUACAAUAUAUUCAGAAUCAGUUCAUUUACACAAAUUGUCAAAAUGGAAUUUUGCUAUAAAAGUAAUGCUUAAAUCGUAAACGAAUGAUCAAUCAGAGUAUAUGAUUAAUUAGCGCAUGCAUAAUUUGUGUAUUGUUCAUUGAGAGCUCAUUUUAUGCGACAAUAUAUUUGAUGUUUCUACAAUGAGUAGUGUAUAUAUAAAGCUAACUCGCUUCGUUGAGAUCAUUCAAAAAAAUUAAAAAUUAAAAUAUUAAAAAGUGUAUAUAUAAAGCAGUAGCUGGGUAUUGUUGUGGAUUAGGAUGAGACCACAUAGAUUAUAAAUGAACGGCAUAUUUUCAUUAUAGCCUUAAUUAAGUUCUCUUUCAUUUUUUUUUUCUAAUUAACAAAAUAUCAUUUAAACUUAUAAAAUAUUUGAGGAAAUUAAAGUUAUAUUGUUUUAGAAGUUUGUGUGUGUGGUUCAUGCCAAAAGCUUCCAAGCGUAAAUAAAUAUGAAGGCAAUCAAUUUGUGCCGCAGUGUUUAAAGAUAGUCAAGGUUACUUUUGAAUAGACAUUUCAGCCAACGUCAGAUUUCAUGAUGCCUAUCUACUACAAGAAGACGAUGGAAUCACUGAUGCCUUAAAAGUGAUUCGACGACUGCCUAAAGUGAUUCGACGACUGCCUUGUGGCGCUUAAGUAACGAACUCUCUUAAUCUUUCAACAGAAUUGAAAAAUAAGUACCUGGAUUUGAAGACCAACAUGAAUUGGAGCCAUGCAUGAGAUCAUUCAAUUCACAAAUUUUUAGAGAAGAGAAUGUUGCGCAAGAUUUAACGACUAAUAUGAAUUUGUGUUGUUCUAAUUUGACAUGAUGGAAUUGCGAAGAUCUUGAAAAAUUGAAUAACACUUUAUGAUAAUUUAUAAAUUAACCGUAAUACACAUUUAGAUUGAGAUAUUCUUUUGCAAUAAAGUAAGGAAGAGCUGCAUUCCAGACGUUAAUCUUAGCUGCCUAUACCACCACUGCUCGACAACACGAAUGUUUAUGUUAUAAAACAUGUGUAUAAAAUUAUUUAAUUAGUGAUUAAUUAUCUUAUAUAUUAGAUAAAACAAAGUGUACAUACUCUUAAGAAAGUUUGUACAAUAUAAGUCAUCACUUUAUAUUAUUUAGCAUAAUAACUUACCAAAGUUUAGUAAAAGGUUAAAAGUAUUACGGUUAAGACAUACUAAAAAAAAAAAAAAAAAAUGAAUAUGCUAAUAUAAUUAAUCUAAAGUAAAAGUAAAGUGUUUACUUGUUUAUGUCUAAAGUCUUAAUUUAGCUUGAUUUAAGAGGUUUUGAUAUUUUGGCUUGUUUGGUCUUGUAUCUCAAGUUUUAUUAUAAGAUAUUUUCAUUUGAAUAGAAAAAAUAAAAUUUCUUAAUUUUUAUCUGAAUGAUAAAAUGUCUCAAUAAAAAAUCAAAUUUUCUCACAAGUACUCUCAUUAAAUGAAUUUAUUUUUUACCUAACUAUUAUGUAAAACCUAAAAAUCCUUUGGUUUUUUUAAUCGAAAUGAUUUUUUUUAAUUAAUAACAUAAUUUAGAUGUCAUAUUAGAAUUUCUCUUGACCUCUACUUUUACUUAGUAUUAAAAUUUCUCUUGACCUCAACUUUUACUUGGUAUUAAUUACUUACAUUCAACCUGUGCAAAUUCUUUUAUUAUUUGAUAACAAUUGUUUUUAAUGUAUAAAUUUUAUGUUAAAUUGUGAAAAAAUAAUGUUAUCAAAAUUAUUUUUCUUAAAAUUUAUAUCAAAUGUUUACCUUAUAAAUAUUUAUAACAUAUAAAUAGCAUUGUACUAGAUAACACGAUAAAUAUAUACCUAUUUAAAUUAACUUCCGAGUAUGUAUAACACUUUCAAGGUUAUAAGUAUAAAAAUACCAGAUUUAAGAUGUUGAAAACUUACCAUUUACACUUGGACAUCAAAAAAUAAAAAAACAAACAUAUUAUCCAGAUAUAUACCUUCAGACCCAUUCAAAUUUUAAAUAAAAAAAUAAAUGCUACCUAAAAUUACCUAAAUCACGAAUAUAUAGUCAAAAUAAUUAUUUUCGAUUUUUUAUUUUUUUAAAUAUAGAGUGGUGGGGCAUUUGAAUUUAUAAAAUAUAAAUGACAUGUUCAACAGCCACAAAUUUAAACAGAAUUUUUGCCUUCAAAUCAGACAAGGAUGAAGGGUGAAGAUUAGAUAAAACGAACAAUUAAUUAAUUUAAUUUCAUUAAUAAUUUUUUCUCUAAUUUAAUGUUUAUCUUUACUCUCUCUGUUCUUCCCAUUGAUAACUUGAUAUGUUCUUCUUCUUUAAUAAUAUUAUUUCUCUCUCCAAAAUUUUAACUUGAACGAUUAGUUAAAUAAACCUACUUAAAAAUUACAUUCGAACUUGCAGUAUUAUAUGCUUUUUUGUGAUAAUAAUUUGAUAAUUUUGACGACAAUUAGUUUGAAGUCAACUGUCAGACGAACUAAAGCCUCUCUCUUCACUGCGUUUAUCAAAUGUUUCGCAUGCGUGCAGUAUCCAUCACCAACGACCCAGAUAUUAGUGUUGUAUAAAAGAUUCUCUUACAACCAAAUAUUAUUCAGUUUAUAGGGUAAUAAAUAACUAAUAACGUCGUUUUGGUCAAACUAAGUCAAUAACUAACUCUCUUUAGCGUAAAGGCUGUUAAUUCCUAAUAUCAAAAAAACAUAAGGGAGGUAUGUGAAAUUUGUCACAUAUUUAUUGAGGAAGCAAAUAUCCGCGACCUCACUGUGGCGUGGGAAACAAUCCAGCUCGUGGAAUCUACGUUCUGCAGCCACAGCCUGUGACAGCCACAACACGAUAGCACAGGAGACUCGAGCAAAAAGUCUUGGCCUUGGUCAUUUCACUUGUGGAUCCCUAUAAAGCCAAAACGAUUGUUUCUCUCUUCUGCAAGAGACUGAAAAAAUGGCUGUCGGUAAGGAUGAUGUAGAGAUUAUAAAGCCACGUACGGACAAGAGACAAUACCGGAGACUCGUCCUUAAAAACUCUCUUCAAGUCCUUUUGAUCAGCGAUCCUGAUGCCGAUAAGGUAAUCAACAAGACCCAAAUUUUUAAAAUUUUAUUUUUCAGUUUAAUUUAGCUAGUAAUCGUGUGGGUUUACUUUGGUUUAUUUUAUUGUUUUACCUUCAGUGUGCUGCUUCAAUGAAUGUCAGCGUUGGCGCCUUUUGUGACCCUGUUGGUCUCGAGGGCCUUGCCCAUUUUCUCGGUAUGUUUAAUGUAUCCUGUGGCAAAUUUGAAUUCGUGAUUUGGGGAAUUUUAGUCUUGUAUGAAUGUGUAUGAAUGUAAAUUGUAAAAGUUACUUCAAAAAAAAAAAAGGGGAUGGGUUUGUGUGAGAUGACUCUAAACGUGUUUUCGGAUGAUCACAGAUUAAAAUACAAUGUGUUGCUCAUAUUGAAAUUAGAGUAGAAAGAGUUAAACAGAAUUAGAAGUUUCACUUGUACUUUCUUUUUGGUUCAAGUAUUUCUUCAUUGUAUGUUUAGGCUUGUUUAUUUCCUGUUAAAGUUAUAGCAUUGUUUCGUUCUCGGUUCUUUCAUCUCUUCCUACUUUGCCUACUUUCUUUUCCCUUUUCACUGUUUGUUAUUAUCAUUGAUAUUUUUUUUUUUAAAUUCUGUUGUGUGGUGAUUUAUUGGAUGAUUCUUCUACUCUCCUAUUAUACAUUAUUAUCACUUUUAGCUGUGCUUGGAUAUUUAUAUGGCUGCAGGCGACAAUUUCUGUGGCCUUUUUAAUGAGUUCGAGUAUUUAUAACUUGCUUUAGUUACUGUUUUCCUGUUUCUUUAAUGUGCAGAGCAUAUGCUGUUUUAUGCUAGUGAGAAAUAUCCAGUGGAGGAUAGCUAUUUAAAGUACAUAUCAGAGGUAUUGACCCUCAAUAAUGUCCUGUUUCACUUAUUUCUAGUAUGUUUUCUUAAGUAAAAGUUUCAGAGAAUCAUGCUUUAUGCUUAAUCUUGCUCUUUGAUACUAAUAAUAGACUUUAACUAGAAGCAGAGGGAGUUGGCGAGCUACACAGACAAGGAAAAAAAUUUUGAAUGCUAUUCCCUUGGAAUAUAACUGACUAAAAAGACACAUUUUCCCUCCGGAGGAAAAUCUUAACUUUUUUGUUAAUCAGGUGUUUGUAAAAACAAAAUCGUGAAGCAAAUUCUUCACUUGAUUUGUAGGGCUGAUGGGAGUUUUAGUUUUAAUUACAUUUCUCUAUUUUCCUGCAAGCCAUUGCAGUCACAUUGUAUCUUAGUGAUUGGAUGUGGAAAAGGUAUUCUUGUUUAAAUUUUCAGCUAUAGAUUGUUCUAUUGUGGACUGGGGUGAUGACUCCAUUUAUGUUCUUUUCUCUGUGGAGCUGACCCAUAACCGGAUUGGAUUUAGAUGUAGUCAGUUUAUUCAACAAGGGUUUAGAAAGUUCACUGGUAUGGUGGUCUAUCAAUUUCUUGUGAUAUGAUUUGAUAAUGUUUGGUAAUGUUGUCGAAAAAAAAUACUUUAAUUGUCAAUAUGUAUCCUUAUCGUUCUAAGUGAUGCUGUGGACUUUCCAUGCAUUGACUGAUGUAUGCUGGAGUGAAAAAUUAUGAAUUAUAUUGUGAACAUGAUCCUCUCAAGCUGUCUUUUGAUACUUGAGACAACUUGUGCCAGAAAUUUCUUUUUUACUUUAGAUUUUAUGUCUUUAGGUUACUGAUCUUGCAUAGUGUCAGGGUGACGAUUUAGAUAAUAUUGGAGCAGCAACUGUGAAUAAUGACCACAGUCUUACUGCGGGUUGUUGAAUCACAUCCUAAGACUAGUUGUGAUUCCACAUCCUAUCUUUGCUUAUGUCUUCUAGUAGAGUCAUUGGGUGGUGGUUUGGUAUUGUUUAUGGUUAAUGUUGAUCUUAAAUACAGUUUGAGACAUGUGAAGAGGAAUCUGGAGUCUGAAAUUUGUUUUUAUUUUUAAGUUUGAUAUAUAAUUUAUUGGGGCAGCAACUCUAGAGACCUUGUAGGAAAGAUGGUUUGUGGAUUGUGGGUGAUUAUUAUGGCACUGCAAUCUUCUUUACGGAAGUUUUGCUUCCCUGUCUUGAGCUUUAUUUGCAUUAUUUAUAGAAAUCUGGUUCGCUCCAGAGAUUGAUCAUUUCCUUUUUAAUUUGGCCCCCUGCGUAUGGGUGGUAUCACUGGUAUGUUCCUUGAUGUGUCUGUUUGGAGAGUGCACUUUUUGUUCUCUUUUAAGGAUUAUCUUGGGAAUUCUUUUGGGGUAGAAACUAGGGUGUCAUUACACACCUGAGCACAUACAUUUUAGGUUGUGUGGUCAAGUGAUAAAUACAAACUGGUCUCUGCUUUAUUUCUUGAUUAAUCCCUGUAAGUACGACGAGCAAGGUGUUGUUCUAAUUUUCACCGCAUUUUCUUACGCACAGCAUGGAGGAAUGGCAAAUGCGUUUACAUCUUCUGAGCAUACAAACUACUACUUUGAUGUAAACCCUGACUCCUUUGAAGAAGCUUUGGACAGGUACAUGCCAUUUUUCAUUUUUCUUAAGUAUCAUAUCUUUCAGUACUUGAGUUUUUGAGUCUGAGUCUUUCCUGUGAUUUACUGCACAGAUUUGCACAGUUCUUUAUUAAACCGUUGAUGUCAGCUGAUGCUACGAUGAGGGAGAUUAAAGCAGUUGAUUCUGGUUAGUUGUUCAUUGUAGAGUCUAGCGCAUUAAUGUACUUUCCGAAUCAUGUUUCAUUAUCAUUAAUUCAGUUCCGCUUUCCUUCCUCCUCCCUCGCUUGUAUCCAGAGAACCAGAAAAACUUGUUGUCUGAUGUUUGGAGAUUAAACCAGGUAUUGCUUACUUCCAUUAAUUUAAUAUUUGGAGAUGAUUUUUCCUUGGGUUUCUAUUUUCUAAGUUAUAUCAUUAUAUCAUUUGUUAUCAUUCACAAGAGACCUUGGACCCCAUUGCUGAGCCUGAGUAUCAGUUUUGAAGUGAAAGUUUUCCUUCAUAAAGCUUUAUUUUAUUGCUGCAACUCGUGUUUUUUUUUUUUUUUCCUUUUUUCUGGUUGGUAUCCUAUGUUCUUUGGUAUAAGAAGUGGCUCCAUUGAACUAAAAAAACUUGAACAUGCACAGACAUCUGACCUUUGGCCAUUAUUUGAAUAGAUUGAGAUAUAAUAUUUGCUAAAAUUGAUAUUCCUUUGUUGAACUCUUAACACAAUAAAAUUUGGUAAGAAGAAAAUAAAUUAUUAUAAGUUGGUGUUUUAUGGCACAAGGGUAUUGGGGAUUGUGUAGGUCUUGUUCUCUUACAAUGCCUUUUGAUUGGUGUUCUAUGGAAUAUGGUCUAUCAUUCUUCAUAGCUUAGUGUUUUAGGUUCACGACAAUUUUAGCAGUGCUGAUUAGUUGGAAAAUGGAUGAGUGGUAAUGGACUUAGCUUGAUUUGGGGUCUUUAUGUUGUACUCGUCUGCCAAAAAAUCAUUUUCACUCGUCCUAUUAUGGAAUUUUAAGAGAGCUUAAGCACUAGGCUUUAGUUUGGUUCUGUUUUGGUGUUUCUUAUAUAUUUCCCUUGUACCACGGUUGCUCCACAAUUUUGGUACUGCUUGUGUAAUAAAUUUGUUACGUAUAAAUAGAAAAAGAAUAGGGCUUUUGAUAAUUGGCCUGUAAAGUGCUUAUUGAUUGUUAGGUGCCGAUAUUAUGGUACAAAGGGUGGCUUAAGAGUUGAAAUUAUGUGUAGAAUUUUGAAUUUUGAAAGGAUAUUGGUCAGGGUAGCAUUUGAGGCCAAAAUAUCAGGUUAAGAUAGUGUUGCAUGAGCUACUUUUACUUGGAUGGGAACAGUAAUCCAAGAAAGAUGAAUAAAUAGAUGUAUUCAUCACAUGUAAUGUAUGGUGCCUCAGCAUCAAUUUUUUCCCAUACACUUAUAUCACACGAUUCUAAGGAGUGCAACUGAUCUUCAUUUAAAAGCGUUUGGCUGGAAUGUAUGAGACUUGCCAGUUUUCCUGAAGUCGCCAAAGGGUUGAAAUUCUAAAUAGGAAACUGCAAAUACUAAUGAUGUGGCCCCAAAAUAAAAAAAUAAUUAAUUAAUUUAAAAAAAAAAGAAAAAACCACAGAGGACCUCAUGCAAAAGCCAAUCAGGACAGUUAUAAUAGAGAAGGACUGAUGUUCUGUUGUGAGGCCUAUUCAAUCAAACCUAGAUAUUAACUCCUAAAAUAUAAGCAAGCUAAAAUAAUGCCAAGUGAUUGGAUUUCUGUUGUUAAGCUUAACAUUGAAAUAAGGCUAAAUGGGAAUUAUUGCCAAGUAUCAAAUUUAUAUAUAGGUCCCACAUAAUUUUAGAUCAAAUUUUGUAGAAUUCGUUUAUUUUCGAAGGCCUGUUUUACAACCUUUGAAACUUCCUUGGAGAAGAAAAGAUUCCAUCUAGAUCUUUGCAUUGGUACCAAGAGAUUUUACUAAGCAAGUAUCUUGUUUUUGUUGUUGUUGUUCUUUUUCCCCCUUUUUAAUGAGAAAUAAGAAAGUAAUUUAUCUUCAUUGAUGUUGUCAUCAUUAUUGCUUUUAACAAUUAGCAUCAUCAUCAAUCGACCUAAAAGUUUAUGCUAAUAGAUUAGUCAACUAUAGCCUUAACAGGCCAUCUGGAUUUUAUCAACUAUAGUAUUAACAGACCCUCUGAAUUUUAUUAACAGCCUUGUCAUGUGGAUCAAGCUAAAAUAGAAACUAACUUAGAUGCAGAUGAUAAUGCAAAUGCAAAUACAAAUCUGAAUGCAAUUAUAUGGGAGGUUUCAAAUAUAAGACCUCUUGGUCAAAUUAAUGUUCAUAUCAUAUUAAUUUUUUGUUUGGCUUAAAAGCAUAAAUUAUAAAGCUGGUCCUGACGAUUGUAUUUGAGUUCCAGCAAGUUAAUUAUGAUUAAGUUGUUAUAUCUUUUGACCAUAGUAGUAGUUUUGGUAGUGUUUCUGUGAGAAAUGACUACCUUUAUGUUUUUUUUUUUUUUUAAAUUUGUACAGCUGCGGAAACAUCUAAGUUCAGAAGAUCAUCCAUAUCAUAAGUUUAGCACUGGUCAGCAACUUACUUGAUUCUCUCUCCGUUCUUUAUUAUAAAGUGUUACAUUCUGUUAUACUUUUUCAUUUAUCAUUUUCUUCAUUUUAGUAAUUUUUCAGAGUUUUAUGAAAAAAUGAUUGUAUUUCCAAGUUGUUCUGUCGAUGUCUACAAUUCAUUGUGUUCACGAUUUUUUUCCUUUCACCUUUUCACCCUAGUUUCUGCAUAUUGUGUUUCAAUGAGAUAGAUGUUUAUAUCAAGUACUUGUUGAUGUUUAGGUAACUGGGAAACUUUGGAAGUUCGACCAAAAAGGGCAUACAAGAGGAAAUGUUUCUCUCGAACUCACUACGAGGAUUUAUGGAGCUCUUAUAAUGAGUGCCAAGAAAUUGUUGAGGAGGAAUGGUCCAAGCAUGGUAAGUGGGAGGGGACUGAUGUAGUUAAGCUCUUUAAGCAUGUCAGCACAGCUUCGCUUGCAAAACUCAUACACUAGAGCAAAAGGGCUUUUGAAGGCAAUAAAAAGAAGCUUGAAAAGCUGGUCAACAGAAUCAAGGACCUUCAGCAGCACAAAUGGAGGUAUGAAAGUAAUGAAGAAUUAAGAAGUAUUGAAAGACAGAUCCACCAUCUCCUGCUGGAUGAAGAGAUUUAUUGGAAGCAGAGGUCCAUGGUGGAUUAGCUUAGAGAGGGAGAUAAAAACACAAAAUUUUUUCAUCUCAAAGCCUCUGCUGUACGGCCAAGGCGGAUGUACGGUACAGCAGUAAUGAACAUUACUCUUCCAACCUCAUGCAUCUGGUUGUGUAUUCAAAAGGUUAGGAACUAAUUCUUCCUGCUGUAUUUUGGCCUUGACUGAAGUACUCUGAGAUAUAAUGACCAACCCUAUGUGAUGGAUGUUUCUAGAAAGUGUUGAUAAAAUUCAAGGUCUAGUGGAGAAUAAGUUUCAGGACAUUAGGAACACUGAUCGAAAUCUUUUCCGUUUUCCUGGUCAGCCUUGCACAUCAGAACAUUUACAGGUAUGCACAAGUUCUAUGUGGUGACAAAGGGUCUCAAGUGACACUGCAGAAAGUAGGAAAGAAUUUUUUCCUUUUUUUUCAAAUUUUCCUAGUUUAUAUUUUUUGCUUCAGAUUCUUGCCAGGGCUGUUCCAAUUAAACAAGGUCACAAACUAAGAAUUGGAUGGCCAAUAACUCCAAGCGUUCAUCACUACAAGGAAGCACCAGGCAGAUAUAUCAGUCAUCUUAUUGGGCAUGAGUCAGAGGGAUCAUUGUUUUACAUCUUGAAAACAUUGGGUAGGUUCUGCUUAUCCCUUAUAUUUCUGAUUCUCAAUGUACUUGCAGCUUUCGGUUGCAUCCUGAAACUUUUUUGAUUUGAGAACUUAACCAAGUUUUAGUGUCCAUAAUUUGUGUUCCUACAUCCUUAGGCUUGAGAUGCUUCUUCUUCUUUACAAGUUCAGAAUGAAUUGUUUUUGUUAAUUUGAAUAGUAAAAUACAUAAAACAAUGAUAUUUUGAAUUUUUUUAAGAUGUUAGCAGACAAAUGAUUCUGUUUAGAUUUUCACUACAAUGUAUUUCUCAUUGUCCCCCCCCCCCCNNNNNNNNNNNNNNNNNNNNNNNNNNNNNNNNNNNNNNNNNNNNNNNNNNNNNNNNNNNNNNNNNNNNNNNNNNNNNNNNNNNNNNNNNNCUGCCCCCCCCCCCCGAGUAUUCAAUGCCUACCCUGUCAUAUUUCCAUAGUGUGGAUGUUAGAAACAAUUUACAAAGCUACUGCAUGUUAUGGUUUCUUGAGGGACUGAUUUUCCUCUAGAAUUUUAAGAAUCACUGCUUGAUGCAAACAGCUUAGUGGGGAUAAAGCACUCUCUGAUCCUCAUUUCAUGGCUGGAUUGUUGAUGACUUUGGUUAACGUCCACUGAAAUCUGUACAAUUUGUCUUGUACUAAUUUGUGUUGAUUAUCAUAUAUUUAAUUGUUUAUUUAUUUUAGUAUUUGUUCAUUGAUAUUGCUUAAAGGUAAAGUAUGGCAGUGCACUUUCUUUAAUUUUGAUGUUAGCAUAUCCGGUUGUUGCCUAUGAUCUUCCAAGAAUGCAGUGGUAUUUUGAUGAGAGCAAUUUUUCAUGCUUAAGGGAAAAUUUUAUUUGCGUGAUUAGGAAUUGAGCUACUGAUGAAUAUCUUUGGAAUGAUUCAUUGAUAAAUAAUGUGAUUGUAAAAUGAUGGCAACCAUUUCACAAGUUUCAGGGUGGGAAGAAGUCUUGAUAUAAGCACAUGUAUGUUCUGGUUGAUAAUGUCUGUGUUUGUUUUGUGUGUAAAGAUCAAAGUGCAAUUUGAUGACACUAGCUCAGGGUCUUUGGUUAUCGACACCAAAAAUUUUCACCUUUGAAAGGCCAACUGACCAGUCACCUCUUUUUGAAAUAAUUUUUUGCAGGAUGGGCUACAUCAUUGGCUGCAGGUGAAGGAGAUUGGACUUUGGACUAUUCAUUCUUUGAAGUUACAGUUGAUCUUACUGAUUCUGGUCAUGGUAAUUCAUUUGUAUCUCACACUGCAUUUAAUUGAAUGUGAUUCAUUAUAAUCAAUUGAUUUACUUUGUUUUGCUAGAAUAUGCAAAUAACUUCAAUUUGUAGAUCUUUUGGGUUAAAUAUUUUUCCCCCCUUGAUUGACUAGCAGAGCACAUGCAAGAUGUUGUGGGGUUGUUAUUUAAAUACAUAAACCUUUUACGGCAGUCUGGUGCUAGCAAAUGGAUAUUUGAUGAGGUAUGAUGACGCAUCUUGUUAAUUGCUACUGUUGCAUAGUAUUAUUGUUAAUUGCAUGUUUCUCGCAUCCGUGCAGUCUUGCCUCUUUGUAGGAUGCUUCUGUUGAAGAGCAUAGUGGUAGGAUGAUUGAUUUGCAUUAAAUUUUCUACCUGAGAAUGUUGGGGUUUGGCUGUUAGCUUAGUAUCUAUUUUGCUUCUUAUUUCUACUACUACUAUUAUUUGUUGUUGGAAACAAGAAGUUAUUUGACUCUGCUAAUGGCAUUACGUUUUAGUUGUGAGAUACUAUUAUUGUUCGAUAGUUUGUUCUUACAAUGCUGUGGUAAAAGUUGGUCUUUUGGUUAAUGACUUGUGAUUGUAAUUGGCCGUAUCAAUGAUGUAUAUGUAGAAAUGUGAAAUGGGGGAACUAUGAUAGUUGCUAUUCAAACAUUACUUGCAUGCUAUUGUUAAGUUUUAGGAUUAUGGUUGAAACAGGAAGAAUAUGUUCUUGUAGAUGAUGUAUCUUAACGGACGCUUUUAAGAAAUUGUUCUGCUGACCACCAGAGAUUUGAGUAUAGCCACCCACAGUAUAUCCACCGAAGGUUUGAGAAUAGUUUUUACUCGGUGUAAAGGAAAAAAAAUUGCAUCAAAUUUAUUGCCCUCUAGUUUUUCUUCCUUUUAUACUUUCAUGCAAUCUGAAAGGAAGGAAAGUUCAUGACAGCAGUCCAACACAUCAAUGAAUCUGGCUUUGUAUUAUUAUCAUGCAUUUUAUGUCUUUCAUAAUAUUUUAAAAGUUUUGUCAUGCUGUAUUCUUGCUUGAAGGAUAAUCAACUCUCUCCUUGUCAGUACUUCAAUUGUUUACUAUUUAUUGAAUUUGCAUCUGGAAGGUUGCCCGUCUUGUUUUCAGCCUAUCUAGUCUUCAACAUUCUGACAUUUUUUUUAUCUUAUGAAGCUUUCAGCUGUUUGUGAGGUGACAUUUCAUUAUCAGGAUAAAGUCCCCCCGAUUGACUAUGUGGUUACUGUUGCUACCUAUAUGGAGGUAUACGUUCUUUUUCAUUUUGUAAAGUUAAUCCUGCUGGGUUGAACGAAAUAUCCAGUUUUAUUACAUUGUUUAAAAUAAUUGGAAUAGUGUAGGAGUAUAGCUUGAGGAACUGAUUGUGAGGCAUAGCUGCUAACACCACUUGAAACACUAGAAAAUACCUUUAUCCGAUGAUUGAUUGGAUGAAAAAUAUGGUUAUCUUGCCUGCCUCAUUGUCUCUUUCCCUUGCACAUAAAGCUGUUUUUGUUUAAUGUUAGACAUAGAUAAGUGGAUAUGGUGAGUAGAUUAAUAAUCUUGUUCUACCAUUGUUUUUGAAUGCUGGACCUCUUUUUUUAGAUUCCCAACAGCUUUUUGCAAGAACCAGUCUUUGUGCUAUUCUUAUAGACAGUUUACAAAUUUGACUUUCUUUUCUUUUUUCUACAUUUUAAGGAUUAUUUGGGCUUGUGAAUCAUGGAUUGGUAGCUGAUUGACAUCUUUCUUUUGCAGUUGUCUGUUUUGAUUGUGAAUGAGUCAAUUAUUACUGUUUUUUCUGUUAGUAAAUGAUGCCUUGAAAUUAUUUUUCAGACAUAUCCCCCUCAAGACUGGCUAGUGGGUAAAUCAUUGCCUUCCAAUUUCAGUCCAGAGAUUAUUCAAAUGACUUUGAAUGAGCUUUCUCCAAAAACUGUUCGGUAAGUUUGUAAGCGCCUAGAGAGCGUUUGACUCGGUGCAUAUGACGAAUGACUCACAUGGUUCCGUUGUUUGAACUUUGUACAUAACAUCUGUUCCAAUUUGAUUGUUUAAAAGUUUAACUUUAGUUCACUAUUUUGUUGGACAUGGUACCUGAUUCUGGUAGAAGUUAUCCGAACUUAAUUUAAGCAUUUGACUUAUCGUUGAACUUCUAUGGCAGGAUGAUGUUUUAUUUUUAUCAUUCCCAUUCUUCUUGCUAUAAGAUAAGUUCUUUUUCUUGUAAAAUAAUUUUGUUUGGCUUUAAACUAUUCCAUGUGCAUGUGAAGCCUUAUCUGCUUGUUUCCAUUAUCUGCUGUAAUAUAACUAAUUGUUUGCUUCCCAUUGCUUUAUGUUUAAAAGAAAAGGGAAACAUUUCAAUAUCAUUGUAUUGCCAAUAACUUGGUUAGCAGUUUCGGAUUUGAUACUUUGUUUUCAAGAGUAAUUACUUGCAUUUUUCUGCUUGUUGGUAGUAAUGCUCAAGGACAUGUUUGUGUCUCAUAAUUCAUGUACAAUUGGCUGUCUCCAUCUUGCAAUCAAAGUCAGACUAUUGUGAUUGGCAGAUAGUCGGCUUUCUAAUAAGCUCUCUGUUUAUCAGGAUUUUUUGGGAGUCAAAGCAAUUUGAGGGGAAAACAGACAUGGUUGAGCCUUGGUAUGGUACCACUUAUUCCAUUGAGAAAAUCGAUGAGUCCAUAAUUCAGGUUCGUUGUUUGAUUUUAAAUAUGAUAUGAUUCAUUAUUCUAGUAAUAAUAACAGAGGUCAAUGUCCUUGGAGGCAAAUGGCUAUUAGAAUGAGAUGGAGGGUGAGGUUUCAGGGUUUCUCUUUUGGUUCAUGGAUAUGAUUUCCAAGAAGGAAAAGUUCAUAUUAGAUUGGAGUGUAUGCUAUUUAUCUUGUCCCACAUUCAGUGGAAGCAGCUAAAUAAAUUUUGCGUGAUUAGAGCAGCUUGAAGGAAGGAAUUGAUGAGUCUUCAAAAUCUUUAUUUGUUUCCAGGACUGGAUACUGUCUGCUCCUGAGGAAAAUCUGCAUCUCCCAGCUCCUAAUGUCUUCAUCCCCACUGACUUGUCUCUUAAGGAUGCACAAGAGGUCUCAGGAUUUUUUUUCCCCCAUCUUUACAGUAAAAUUUAUUGUGAUGUUCUCUUUAAAGUAAUUGUUCGUAUGCAAUUGGUCUUUGUAACAGGCCAAAUUCCCAGUUCUGUUGAGAAAGUCAUCCUAUUCAACAUUGUGGUACAAGCCUGACGCAAUGUUCUCUACACCCAAGGCAUUUGUUAAGAUUUAUUUCAACUGCCCCCAUGCUAGCAGCUCUCCUGAAUCUGAAGUUCUGACUGAUAUUUUCACACGGUUGUUACUGGACUAUUUGAAUGAAUAUGGUAAGAUGCUGGAUAAAUGUCGUAGGAUGUUGAUGUAGGAUUGGACAAAUGACUAUUCCUUUUCUUUUAACUUUUGUUUUCAUUCUUUUUAGUUGGAAACAGACAAACUUUUAUAGAAUAAAUAAAGGGAGAAAGAUUUCCAAAGUAAACUAGAGUUCCACAUACUAAAAUUUCAUUGAAGGAACAGAUUAUUACCAAAGGGCUUCUCAUACCUGAUCCCUGUAUUUAGGUUUAGUUGAGUUGACCGAGGUCAUGUAUUGAUUUUGUUUGAUUGGGCUUUUUUCACAUUUUAGUAAAUUUUGGGACUUGUAUGCUGUUUGAGGUAUAGGUAUGCAUUUGUUCUAUAUGGUUAGUAGGUAGCUUUUAUUGGACUGUCUUUGUUUCCCUUGUGAACCUCUGGUUCACUUCCAUAUCAUCUUCUCUUUCAUUUUGAUAAAAUUCUUAUGUUUCUGGUACAGAGCAUAACUUCCACAAUUUACAUAAUUCUGUAUUUGUGAAUAAAAUUAAAUUUUUUCCUUACCCAUCAUAUCUUUAUGUAUCAGCUUACUAUGCUCAGGUUGCUGGCCUUGAUUAUGGGAUAAACCACACUGAGAGUGGUUUUGAGGUAAUGUUAUCACUUGCCUUUGAUAUUUAUCGCAUGUUGGUAUGCAUUUUUCUGUGUCGAUUUUAUGGUUUUUGCUUCUAUAGGUUACAGUGGUUGGAUAUAAUCACAAAUUGAGGAUCUUGCUGGAAACUAUUUUUCAAAAAAUUGCACAAUUCAAAGUCAAACCUGACAGAUUUUCUGUGAUUAAGGUAAUGAUUUAGGCUUAAAAUAUUUGACCUGUUUGACAUUGAAUGUUAUUUUCUUUUAUCAUCUUAAACAUCUAACUGAAUCAAAGUACUAGUAUUAUUUGUUUAUAAUUGGGAGCUUACAAUAAUUUUCUUUGGUUGUGCUGUUCCAAAGCCUGCAUAGCUUUGGUUGUUUUGAGCUCCAAAUCAGUAACAUGGCUUUUCAGCGUGAAGGUUUUAGGGGUGUACAUUUGGGUGUGGGCGUGCAUGUAUCUUUUUCUUUCACCUUUUACACCUGGAUUCCAUUCAUGUGGAUGCACAUGCAUAAGCAACCACAAACCCCCUGAAGUGGAUCUUCACUGUGGUAGGGGCUUACUAAAAUAUUAAGGGUAAAAAAUAUAUUUUUGUUUAUAUUUGAUUAUUAAAGUGUAUAAGCUGUUUCUAAAAAUGUCUUAGCACUUUUUUUUAGUUCUUCCGGAACUUGCAUUUGAUGGUUCUGUGAGCGACUCCUCAACUGGUUGAACUUUUGACUUAACAAUCCCCAUUUGCACUGUAUGGAACCAUUAUCAUGUUGCUUCCCUUGGUGAGUCUGUUAUGAACCCAAGCUGUUCAUGUAUGAAUAAAGUUUUUCAUUCCCUUUAUUUAUUUGCAGGAAAUGGUGACAAAAGAAUACCAUAAUAAUAAGUUUCUACAGCCAUAUCAACUGGCUAUGUACUACUGCUCUCUAAUACUUCAGGAUCAAACGUGGCCUUGGAUGGAAGAACUUGAAGUUCUUCCUCAUCUUGAAGCUGAAGAUCUUGCUAAAUUUGUACCCAUGAUGCUCUCUAGGACCUUCUUGGAAUGUUACAUAGCAGGUCCUUCUGUUUCAAUUUUUUAAUGGCAUUGUUUGAGAUUUCGGUCGCUCCUUUUUGUUUCCAUUUAUGAUCUCAUUACUUUCAUUUGUUCUCAGGAAACAUUGAAUCUAAUGAAGCAGGAUCGAUUAUCCAGUACAUUGAAGAUGUUUUCUUUAAGGGCUCAAACCCAAUAUGCCAACCAUUGUUCCCAUCCCAGCAUUUGACUAAUAGAGUUGUUAAACUUGAAAAGGGCAAGAAUUAUGUGUACUCCAACCAAGGCCUGAAUCCUAGUGAUGAAAAUUCUUGCCUAGUCCAUUAUAUUCAGGUACAAGAAUUUUUUUUAGAAAAAAAAAAAGGAAAAUAAUGAUUUAAUUAAGUGCUUUGGCUGCUGAUAUACGUGUUCUAUGCUGCGUCUAUACUCCUUGUAAAAUUAAGCAGCUGGUAUUCUGCAUGCAUUUCUUAUCCCUUCUAAUACUUGAAAAGCUUUGAAAGUAUCCUUUUGGGAAGAGGAUAAAAUCUUGAGCAGUAUUCUAAUUGUUAUUGGGACACAUGUUUAUCACUAGUGUAUUCUUUCUUCCCAUUGCUGUAUCGUAGUUGGAGGCAUUGAUUUCAAAUUUUAGAUAUUUUCAUGAAAAGGGGAUGAAAUACUGAUAUUUGUUUCAACAAAUAUUUUCUCCCCAGUUGUUACCUUUUUUUUUGGGGGGGGAGAAGGGGGCUAAAAAGGAGAGAGAAAAAAAAAAGAGAUUAGCAAGUAGUUGAGCCUUUUUCCGUCUUUUCACGGUGAAUUGACCCCCGUGUAUGGUGUAGGGCGGUUUUUGCUUUAAAAUGGCUUUGUUUGGGCUGUCAUUUCUUGAUGAACAGUGGUUUGCCUCUUUACUGUCCGUAUGAUUAGGUUAUUCAGCUAAGACCCUAAACUACUGAACAAACUGUGAUUAAGGAAUAAUUAUGGUAAUGUUUUCGCCAUUACUUUUAAGACAAACAUACAGUGUGUAUUAUUUAUGUGUUGAUGUCUGCCAUUACUUUCAGACAGCACAAACUGUGAUGAGAUCUAUUUAUAUGUUGCUUUUGCCAUUACUUUAAGUGAAUUACAUGUCAUCCAACUGUUCUUUAUGCAUGUUGAUGAGGCUCCGAACUUAAGCUCUGAAAGAAAUAGUUUUGUGUCCAAUUUCUUGAAAAUAUAUAUCUUGUGCUAAGCGACAUUGGUUUUCCUCGAGCAUUCCUUGAUUCAUGGAGUUAAUAUUGUUUUGUUGCUUUAGAAUUAUAUGGUUUUGGGACAAACUGGCAUGGAUUCUGAAAUGUAGGUUAUUGGUACCCAUGCAACAGGGAUAAUAGAUGUACAAGUCACACAAAAUCUUUUACAUGUUUCUCGAUCUCUAUUUGACCAAACCAUUUGUUUCUGUGGGGGGUCUGAUGCGAUUCUGAUGUCAUGUCAUGUUGAGUUGUUCAGGUUCAUCGAGAUGAUUUCCUUAUGAAUGUGAAACUUCAGCUUCUUGCUCUUAUUGCAAAACAACCAGCUUUCCACCAGCUUAGAACCGUUGAGCAACUUGGGUACAUUACAGCACUCCUGCAGAGGUACAUAACUUGAGGUCCCUAGUUCUCCUUCAGCUUGGAGUGUUUGCUUUAAAUUUAGCUAUCUACUUGAUGUAGGAAUGAUUUUGGUAUCCAUGGAGUGCAGUUCAUCAUUCAAUCCUCAGUAAAGGUGAUAGCAUAGUUUUGUUCUUUGAAUAUGCACAUUGACAGCAUUAUUGUCGCUUUGCCUCAAGUGCUCUGUCAAUUUAACAGGGUCCGAAGUAUAUUGAUCUGAGAGUUGAAUCAUUCCUCCAGAUGUUUGAAAGUAAACUUUAUGAGAUGACCAGUGACCAAUUCAAGGUGAAACGCACAUUUCUAUUCUACAUGAGUUAUUCUGCUCUGUGUUUUCACUGAUGAGAUUGUUUUUAUAAACACUACAGAAGGUUGGAAGUUAUUAUAUCAGUAAUGCUCAAGUUUGAUGCUCAAAUCUUUUACCAAUAGAAUUAUCAAAAGAAUCAUUUGGAUAACAUGUUUUGAAUAGAGAAAGUACUUCCCUAAUCUUAAUUCUAGACUAUUAACUGCAUGAAUUAAUUUGAUAAUGCUUAUAUACAUAUGCCAAGGCUUUUACAGUUGCUAUUAAUAUGAGAUAAAUAUGAUAUUAUUCCAUCUUUUUAUCAUCAUUUUGUCAUAUCCUAGUCUUGAAAUGCAAUGGAACUACAUUAAGUACAAAGAAAGAGAUUGGUGAUAUUAAAGGAGAUAAUAUUCCUUACCAAUUUUUCUGUAAUUGCAUCUAUUGUCCCAGUCUCAACCACUUUUUUCUUUUAUGUGAAAUUAUUAUUUUCUUGAUGAUCCCAGAUAGAUAUUCUGUUUAUAUGAGUGUUUUUGGAUAAAUGCCUGGCUCCUUAACAGUGAAAAUGGCAUUUUUUUCAUGUAGAACAACGUAAAUGCAUUGAUUGAUAUGAAGCUUGAGAAACACAAGAAUUUAAAGGAAGAAUCUGGAUUUUACUGGCGUGAGAUUUCUGAUGGGACCCUCAAGUUUGAUCGGAGGGAGGCUGAGGUAUGGGAAUUACUAUCAAUUUAUUUAUUUAUUUUUCACCAAGUCAGGUUAAGACUUUUGUAUGUUUGAAGAUUCAUUUUCAAUUUAUUUUGGAGAAAAAGGUAAACUAAGAGACAUGAAGAACGCAGCCUCUGCUCUCUGUAAACCUUCUUAGGGGCCUGAGCAAAUUAUAAUUAUCUUUUUCACUUGUAGUUGAGUACUUAUAUUAUGAAGUAGUUGGUUUAUACAAUAUUAGUGUUCAAACAGGUUGCAGCACUGAAGCAGCUGACACAACAAGAAUUGAUUGACUUUUUCAACGAGAAUAUUAAAGCUGGUGCACCGCGGAAGAAGACACUAUGUGUUCGAGUGUAUGGGAGCCUGCAUGCACCUGAGUUGAAGGAAGAAACUAGUGAAUCAGCUGAGCCUCACAUCGUUCACAUAGAUGAUAUUUUCAGUUUCAGAAGAUCACAACCUCUCUAUGGUUCAUUCAAGGGUGGUUUUGUUCAAAUGAAGUUGUGAGGUGUUGAAUCUUACAUCUGAGUCUGUUCGUAAAGAAGACUCUGCAACUACAGGAAGAGAACAGCGGAUUUCAAACAAGCUUCCACAUCAACUAUGAAAAAGAUGGGUGCCCGUAAAUCCAUUGAUCAAAUAAAGGUUCUUAUAGCACCAAUCAAUUCGACAUAAAUCAAAAGAUUAUACUCUUUUAACUUAUUGAUGAAUUACACCUGUAAUGAAAUGGUGCCCCAACGUGUUUUUUUUUUUUUACCAUUGUACGGAAACCGAACUUGAGACAAGUUACAAAAUUCAUCUGCCACUGCAAGGCAUGUUUAAGACUCUGUCUAGUAUUGCUGUCUUUAGCUCGAGCCUCGAAGUACUUUGGUAAACACUCACAGAUGAAUUUUUGGUAUCCUCGUUCUCUUUGGUCUCACGCGACUUUAACCUCGAGAAACAUCGAAAACAGGUGGUAUACUCUCUUGACUUCACGGGCGAGGCCUAUUUUUCAGUUAUGUUUUUUGAGGUUGCUUUGAUAUUUUGUCUAAUCCUUACUUCACAGGAGAACAUCAGGAAGUAAACUGUUCAAUUAAAUUUACGAAACCACCAUUUAAUCAAAUUCUAAAACCAGCAAACAAAAGGUAACGUAUGAAAAAAAAGGAUUAAAUAAACAUGCAAAUUCAUGCAAAUUCUGAAAGAAAAGAAUGUAUUAUCUGUCAAAACUGAUUACAACAAUUUUCCCUGCUAACCACUUAUCUCAAUUUUGAGACAACAGAAUAGAGACAGAGAGGUGACUUUUGUUUUAGAAGAAACCCAGGUGAAAGAAAAAGGAUAAUGUAAGAGAUUUUGGCUUUGAGAAUGAGAAGGAGAGACUGCACACUCGUAUAAAUAGGUUAUCUCCAUGUUUCUUGGCCUUCACAUUCUCACUUUCCUUUCUCUUCCUUCCUAUCCAAGUUACCUUUUCUUUUUUAAACCCUUUCUUUUAAUUUUUUUGAUGCUGCGCAAAUACAAGAUUCUUCACAGAUUUAUUCUGAGAGUAUUCGGUCCGCAAAUCAAAAUAUUGAAGAAAAUUUUAAUCUUUCACAUUUUUCACUUCAAUAACAUAUGCAUUUCAUGACUGUAAAUAUAGUAAACACUAGCAAAAUACAUUGUACCACAGACACUGGGCUUAAGUUCAAGUGGGAACAGGAAAGAAAAAAAAAAAAAAAGAGAGAUUAACUGAUAAAGGUAUCCUGAUCAUUUGAUCUCUUAAUUAUAAAAUAUUGUCUAUCCUACAUUUUUAAUGUGAUUGGAAUCAUAACAAUUUAAAUCUGUAUCUUCUAUCUGAAUAUAUUCUUUCUUUUAUUUUGGUUGCCUAGUGAGAAUUUUAUUUGUAUUUUGGCUUCUUUGCUUGUUGAUCUUAUUUUAUAGUCUCUAGGAUUUCGAAGAUUAUUGGUUGGGUCUCUCUUUUUUCUUUUUCUUUUUUGUUCUUUUUUUUAAAGGAAAUUCAUUGCACAUCUGCCAAAAAUUUGGAGAGAGAACUUUUUUCCUCAAAUAAAAUGUUUAAUACAAUGUCUUUUAAUUUGGUUGGUUGCAUUCUAUAGAUACUAUAAUAUGAAGUUCACAGAGAAUCUAAAUACAUAAAUUUAUAGUAUAGACCAAAAGUUUAUUAAUGCUACUUACAUAUAUUUGUAAUAGAAUAAUGAUAGAGAUACAACUAUCUUAUACAAAUAAGUAUAUAAAAUCAUUAUGGACCUAUAUAGUUUAAAAAAAAAACUAUUAUCACUUUUUAACCAAUCUAUUUAUAUUAUCUCAAUUUAUACAUACCAAUUUAUUUAAAAUUGUCUAUGACUUUUGUCAUUACUCAUUUACUUUACCCAUAUUGGCGAAAUAGUUGAAUCCACUCCAAAUCGUGUCCUCAACAAAAGUUGAGACUUGAGAACACAAACCCACAGCCAGGUCAGGGCCUUAUUAAUUGUUUUUCUUUCAGAUGUUAUCACUUUUUGGGUUGCGUGUACAAUAUUUCGAUAUUUUAUGAGAAUACAUACCAUGCGCAUCAAUCACUUUCCGAGUAUCACCGUUUUGUUGAGGUUUGAUUUCUUCGGUGAGAGUUCAAAGUUUCCAUUUGGCAGAAGUGCUGCAGAUUAAAAUACAUUUUAGACCAAAAAUUUAUGAACAUCAGAGAUAUAACUUCGGUGGAAUAAUAAGUCACUGAUAUUAUGUGUGUUUUUAUUUUAAAAUUAAGAUUUUUACCGCAUAAACAAUAGAUGUUUCUUUCUUGAAUUAGAAGAACAACAUUAAUCUCACUCAAAUGGCCAAAAUUACAUGGCAAGACACAUCGACUACACAAACAAUUAGAAAAAAGAAACUCAAUAUAAGAUUAUUUAAUCCCCAUUUACUUAACUUAGAUUAAGAAACUAGUUCAAGAGUCCAGGGUUACCCUAAAUUUAAAUAAUUAACUAAAUAACUAUUCUCAGCCGAUGUGACAUAAUAUCCUCCAAUAAAGGAGCCAAAUAAGCAACCGGCUGUUUUUUGUUUUAUUUUUGUAAAAACAGCACACGUCAUAUAUAUAUUUAUAAUUUUAUUUUAUUUUUUACUUCCGUGUACAAACGGUAGCUUAAUUAGCAAAUUAAUACAUAAUCAAAUGUGUUACAGGUUUUGUAUGUGCUAUAAAAUGAAAAAAAAAAAAAAGCAAAAGUUAAGGAUCCGACAAAUGCUUACUGUCAAGAUAUCGAGGAGGACGAAUAACUCGAGUGGUAGCAGAGCCACCAUUGCUUAGAGCUGAGAAAAUGAGUGCAAAGCAAAGAAAGAGAAACAAAGCCAUUUUUUCUAUGAUGAAGAAGCAAAUAGACUGAAUAGGAUAUUUAUAGAAUGAGUUAGUUCAAAAAGAUCAGUACGCAAAUAAUGACUUUAAUAUUGAAUUUGAAGACAAAAGCGAAGGAAGAAAAAAUAAAAAAGAAAGCCACGUUAUAAGGCCACCAAAUUAGCCGCGAGAAGUGUCCCUUUGUCCAAGCAUUUCCCAAACCUCAAGUAUUGUAUUUCCACACAAAUUUCUUCGUUAAUGCGUUGGAGCCCCACAUGAAGUUUCAUUACUGGUUGCCGUGAUUUGCUCCUACUUUGAAUUCUAUCAACUAAUAUUUCGAAGUACAUAUAAAGUACAGAUUCUAUUUCAUAUGACAUAGGCACAUGCUGCCAAUAAUAGCAGAACAAUACUUUACAAUCUUUCACAUUAACAGAUAAUUUAUUUAAUCAUUCUCAUAAUCAAUCCUACAAGUACAAGUUCGUCCAGAAGGUUGAAUGCUCUCUUUCUCUCCGAAAGAGAGCAAAAGAAUGGAGUAUAUUUUGAGCUUUAAUGGCUCUAUUCUUCACUCAUUAGACUGAGUGAUUGGUUCUGAACCUUUUCAGAGAGUGUCAUUAGGGAAGUGCAUUUAUAAAAGUGAGAGUAGGCAAAAAAUACUGGAAAACUCAGGGUAGUAAAUAGGUGGAGGUUAGUUGAUGUAUUCAAUACCAAUGGAUACUGAGGAGUUAAUAAGGAAAUGCAAAGCUAUCUCCAUACGAGACGGCAAUGAAAGAAAACUAUCACUCAGGGGUGGAACACAAGGGCAAGGAGGACGCAUAAUUGCAAACUCUCUAGUGGGCAAGUUCUGCUGGCACGGAGCAUACAAACAGAAGGAAUCAAAACCGCCUUACCACAAGCAUGGAGAACAAUAAAAGAGGUGAAAGUUGAAAGCUUGGGAAACAAUAUUUUUCUUUUUAAGUUUGGUUUGGAAACAAAUAAAAGAAAGGUGAUGGCAGGAGGACCUUGCAUUUUGACAGAUCGUUGAUUGUGCUAAAGGAACCUAGUGGGAUUGGAAACAUGAGAAAGGAGGAAUUUACAUAUGCAGCUUUUUGGGUGCAAAUUCAUAAUGUGCCUAUAGUAUGUAUGGAUCGGGAAAAUGUUCAAAAACUGGGGGAGUUGUUAGGAGAGGUUCUGGAAGUGGAAACAUAUGAUGAUGGGGAAUGCAUUGGUCCGUAUGCGAGAGUCAGAAUUUCCAUCAACAUUAUAAAACCAUUAGAAAAAAUGGUAUUCUUGGAGUUGGAAGAUAACGAUGAGGUGGAAUUGCCGGGCUUGUAUGAACGACUUCCAGACUUCUGCUUCUGUUGUGGUAUUAUUGGGCAUCAGUUCAAAGAAUGUGUAUUAUAUGAAGGGCAAUCAAAAGAAAAUCUGCCUUACGGGGUUUAUAUGAGGGCUCUAUCAAAAGCAGAAAAAACCAGAAUAAACUGAGGCAGAGACAAAUGGAAUAGAAGGGGGGAGCAACAAAACAAUGGCCUCACGGAGCUAGAGAGCCAGAGGAGAAGUCAGCCACAUCAUAUUGGCCUGGAUCCAGAUGAAAACAAACUCGGGUUAAACCAACCAAAUUCGGGUGAGCAUGAAAGCCAAACAAUAAAGACAGGUGAGCAAUUAAUACAAAUGACGCUGGAACCAAGGAAGCAGCAUGAGAAUGUACAGAAGUAAUCCAGCACAGCUACUGCUGUAAACAUAACUGACAGCCCAAGUGGCUAUGAGAAACAGAGAGAAGAAGCGGGAACAGAAAAUAGGGAGGGAACCAAUUUGAGCGUGGCGCCAAAUCUAGAGUCAACUACAAUUUCUAGUCAAAGCCCUAGAAAAGAUGAGGUGGUGUAUGAGGGGCCAGGAACAAAAAAUGCUAGGCUCAAACGAAGAAAAUGGAAACUUCAGGUUAAAAAUGUAAAUAAAAAAGGGCACACAAAAUACGGAUCAAUUGGAGGAAAAAGGCUGGGGGGGGGGGAAUCACCAAAGCCAAGCCCAAAGUGUAAAAAACCAGAAUUCAAAGCCCCACAAAAUUACUGUAGCUAAAGCCAACACUUACAAUCGGCUUCCACAUAAACACAAGCUUCACUGGGAGGAUUUGGAUGCAGUGGACAAGGAACAAACCAACCAUGCAGCAAUUCAAUCGGCGGAGGCUGAGGAGCAGCCUCGCCGACAACCAUGAAAAUCUUGAGUUGGAACGUCCGGGGGUUGGGGAAUGACCGGACGUUCAUAGCUCUGAAAAAGUUCUUCCAAUUAUACAGGCCUCAGUUGAUUUUCUUGUGUGAAACUAAAUUGAAGACUGUACGCAUGAAUAAUGUUGGCAGAAAGCUAAAGAUGGAAAAUUGUUUUGCAGUGAGCAGUAAGGGAAAGAGUGGGGGUUUAGCUAUGUUAUGGACUUUGGAAACAAAUGUGAAUAUCACCUCCUUCAGCAGCCACCACAUUAAUGCAGAGAUAGUAACUGAAAAUGGAGAUCAGAUGAGAUGCACUGGGAUCUACAGCCAUCCAGAAACAAACCAGAAAAAACACACAUGGACUCUACUAAGAAGGCUAGCAAGUUUGUCUUCAUCCCCAUGGCUUUGUUUCGGUGAUUUUAACGAAAUUAUGCACUUUAAUGAGAAAAAUGGGGGGAACGAUAGGGAACUUAGUAUGAUCACAGAUUUUAGAGAAGCUGUCCAGGAUUGUAAUCUUAGAGAUUUGGGUUGCAAUGGUUACCCAUUCACAUGGUCCAAUAGGAGGUUUGGAACCCACUUCAUUAAGGAACAAUUAGACAGAUUCAUGUGCAGCAACGAUUGGUCAAAUUUCUUCCAGGACCAAGCUGCAACUAAUUUAGUUACAUCGUGUUCUGAUCACAACCCAAUAUUAAUGGCUGUAAAGAGCAAAGAUAAAUAAGGGCAUACAAGAGGAAAUGUUUCUCUCGAACUCACUACGAGGAUUUAUGGAGCUCUUAUAAUGAGUGCCAAGAAAUUGUUGAGGAGGAAUGGUCCAAGCAUGGUAAGUGGGAGGGGACUGAUGUAGUUAAGCUCUUUAAGCAUGUCAGCACAGCUUCGCUUGCAAAACUCAUACACUAGAGCAAAAGGGCUUUUGAAGGCAAUAAAAAGAAGCUUGAAAAGCUGGUCAACAGAAUCAAGGACCUUCAGCAGCACAAAUGGAGGUAUGAAAGUAAUGAAGAAUUAAGAAGUAUUGAAAGACAGAUCCACCAUCUCCUGCUGGAUGAAGAGAUUUAUUGGAAGCAGAGGUCCAUGGUGGAUUAGCUUAGAGAGGGAGAUAAAAACACAAAAUUUUUUCAUCUCAAAGCCUCAUCUAGAAAGAGAAAAAAAUAAAAUAUGGAGAACAAAAGCUGCUCACGGUAAUUGGAUCAAAGAGACUGGUGAAAUUGCUAAACAAUUUUGUGAGUAUUUUAUAGACUUAUUUUUAACUUCCAACCCCACCAAAGAUCAGAUGGAAGAUGCUCUAAGAGGAAUGAGGCCAAAAGUGUCACCAGAAAUGAACACAGACAUGAGUCAGCCCUGCACAAAGGAGGAGAUUAUAGAAGCCCUGGCUCAAAUGUGUCCAACUAAGGCUCCUGGACCUGAUGGGUUACCUGCUGCUUUCUAUCAGAAGCAUUGGAAAUAGGUAAAGGAAGGAGUUAUCUCUAUAUGCCUUCACAUCCUUAAUAACACAAGUACAAUUACCCCGUUAAACCACACCUAUAUUGCUCUAAUUCCAAAGUGUGCCAAGCCUAGGAAAGUGACGGAAUUCAAACCAAUAAGCCUUUGCAAUGUAAUCUAUAAAAUCAUUGCCAAAACAGUGGCAAAUAGAUUGAAAAUUAUUUUGCAUGAUGUCAUUGAUGUUUCUCAAAGCGCAUUCAUUUCCAACAGAUUGAUAACCGAUAAUAUCAUUGUUGGGUAUGAAUGCCUUCACAAGAUUAGACAUAGCAAAGGAAAAAAAAAAGGAUUGGUGGCUCUGAAGUUAGACAUAAGUAGAGCUUAUGACAGAGUGGAAUGUGAGUUUUUAAGGUUGACAAUGGGUAGAUUAGGCUUUGAGGAGAAGGUCGUUAAUAUGAUAAUGAAUUGUAUUACUUCUCCAACCUUUUCUAUAAUCAUCAAUGGAGUUCCUCAGGGGAUGAUUACCCCCUCAAAGGGGUUUGAGGCAAGGCUGCCCUCUAUCCCCAUAUUUGUUUAUAAUAUGUGCUGAAGCAUUUUCAAAUUUAUUGAUACAAGCUGAGAGGAAAAAAUAAAUUUAGGGGCUGAGAUUUGGGCAAUAAAUAUCCAUUUCUCAUCUUUUAUUUGCAGAUGACAGCUUGAUUUUCUCUCAAGCUUCAACCAAAGACUGCCAGCACUUGAAAAACAUCUUUGAGUGCUAUGCUAAAGCUUUUGGGCAAAUCUUCAAUUAUAAUAAGUCAUGCAUGUUUUUUAGUGGAAAUGCUCCAGCAAAGCAGGCCUCAGACAUUAAAAGAAUUUUCCAGCUCAAUGUGAUUUCAAGACACGAGAAAUAUCUGGGGCUACCAUCUAUGAUCGGGAGAAAAAAAAAAGACUUUUUUCAAUGAGAUCAAACUGAAAAUUCAGAGCAAGAUAUCUAAUUGGCAGCAAAAACUCGUCUCGAGUGGGGGGAAAGAAGUCUUGAUCAAAGUUGUGGCACAAGUUGUACCAGCUUAAGCUAUGAGUGUCUUUAAGAUUCCCGUGGGGCUUUGUGAUGACAUUCAAAGAAAUAAUGCUGGUUUUUGGUGGAGCAAGAAGAAAGAAAAGAGAGGCAUUCCCUGGACAAGAUGAGAGGAAAUGAGUAGAGCCAAGAUUAGAGGAGGGAUGGGGUUCAGAGACAUAUCAAGUUUCAACCAAGCCUUAGUUACGAAACAAGGUUGGAGAAUAAUUCAAAAUCCGGAAUCCUUAGCAGCUAAAGUACUAAAGGCAAGGUAUUUCCCAAUGACUGAUUUUCUUAGAGCUUCCAUAAGGUCAAAUCCAUCCUAUAUUUGGAGGAGCAUAAUGUGGGAAAAGUGUUGUGCAAAUUUUAUUGAACUCGCAAGCGCACGAAUCUAUUAUAGAAUAUAUCAAUGGUGACGAGUGUCGAUCCCACGAGGAGGUUGAUUUUAAUUGUAUGUAGAAUUAAUUUUCCAAAUCGGUGGAUGAAUUUGUAGUGAAAAUGAUUUGAAAUAUUUUAAAAUUUAAAUUAAAAUGGCCAGAAUAAAUUGAAGAGAAAUCUAUUGAAAUGAAGCACUUGAGUAUCUGGAUCCGUAUCAACAUGCAUCAUGAGCUAAAUAUUCCUUAUUAGCACCAAUUAAAUCAUGAGGGGGAAUCCACACCUCAUGAACCACACUCUAAUCAAUAUGGUGCUAAGGGCUUAUCGUGCCAAAUAAUAAUAACUUGUACUAGGGAGCCGGUGAAACCAGGACAGUAUUUAGAUAAGAUUAUUAUUAUUUGUCGACGAAAAGUCAAAACAUUCCUAAAAAUUAGAGGGAAAGAGAAAAUAAAUUUACCAAAUAAAGCUUAUGGCACAUGUUGAGACUUCACCUUCAAUCCAAGCUUGAAAGAAAAUUAGCUACUCAUAAUUGAACUAGGGGCAAAAUGGAAAUUUAUUAAAAUACAUAGAAAAUACAAGAUGGAGAAGGAAUUAGAGAAAAUUGAGCUCAAAAAUGAAUUCAGAGAUGUCCAAUUAGGGGGAGAGGCCCCUUUUUUAUAGAUACAUUGAGUAAAUCAUGGCCAUUAGAGUAAAAACAAUUUGGACGCUCAGGAUUGCACCACGUCAUCAGUCAACAGUACGCGGUUUGAACAGUGACACGGGUUGACCACAUGGUUUGAACAGUCAACCGGCUUGAACAGUGAUGCAAUUUGAUUGAAAAUAAUCCUGUGUAUAUGCAUGUACCGUAUGCGUGAUUUUUGGUCCACUAACAUACUGUCACGUCACCGAUCAACAGUGCAUAAUAAUUUUCUUCAAUGGAAUCGUGACACCUCAUCAGUCAAUGUCACAUCAUCAGUCAAUGCCACGUCAUCGUUCCGUAUGUGUAAACAGUGUCGUGAACAGUAACAUUGACAGUACUGUACAUGUGAAUAGUAUCGUACAUGUGAACAAUGCCAUUUUUCUUUUUAUACUCCUUCUAAGGUUUUCGACUAUCCUGAGUCCAAAAGUGAUGUCCGUUUUGUCGUUUGAGCUCUAGUUCAUUGUGAAAUGACCAUGAUGCCCCUAAAUUAUAUAAAAUACUUAAUUAAAAUAAAGCACACAUAAUUAAAUCACAAGAAACUUAAAUACAUAAAAGUAAGAAUGUUAGUAAAACGUGAAAUAUAAAAUGACGAUUUUCUCCUUUAUAAAUAUACAUUUUCUAACACUCAACACAUCCCCCAACCAGCUUAUUGCUAGUCCCUAGCAAAUAAAGCGAAAAAAAAAUUCAAAUCCAAAAUGAUUUUUUUUUAAACAAUCAUGUUUAUUCAAUCAGACUAAUGAUAGUAAUCAAAUAAAAGUAUAAGCAUUAUCUCCAGUCUAAAGAAACAUCACACACAUAUCAACCAUCCCCAUGAAUCUGCCCAGUAGACUUUGUCAUAGCUACUUUCAAGAAUGACAUGUUAAACCCCAAAAUCUCAUUGGAAAUAGUGACACUCUCACAAAGAAAUUAAACCCAAUAAAAAUAGUCACUCCAAUGAAUGGUAAUUGAGAGAAAAUAAUAAAGAAGUGAUAUCACACGCUUUCAACAAGAUGAAAGAAAUAUACCCUCAACUUAAAAAUAAUACGAUCUCAAGUCAAAUAAAAAUGCUAGUAAACCCAAUUUAUUUAUUUUUAUCUUUUUUUUAUUCAUCACUAUAUCUUUUUAGCCCAUAUAACUAGCUUCUACUUCAGAUUAUAGUUCCUUAAAAUCAAGAAGGUCUUUUAUUAAGACGUGACGUAGGCUAAGGAUAUGGCUAACAAAGGAGGGGAAAUAAGGAAAACAAAGUGUAUGUUUAAGAAAAAUAUAGAGUUUUUUUUUUUUUGAAGUUGCAAGGUGGAUUUCACCUAUUAUUGUUAUUUUUUUCUUUUUUUUGAAACAACAAUUUGUUUUUGUUUUUUGUUUUGCUUUUGUUUGGCACAACUUCACUGAACAACAUGAUUAUUUAUAUUUUUCUCAAAAUAAAUAGGUGAUGGAACUUGUAAGAUAUCGGGUAAUACUCCAAAUCGGAGUGAGUCAAGAUGAUAAGUUUGACCAAAAAAAAAUUUUUUUUUAAAAGCUCAAAAGGGUUAACUAUGAAUAUUUCAUAAAAGGGAUAGCUAGAAAGGCUCAAACGGAUCAAAGAUGGUCUUUCCAUCGUCUUUUAAAGCUCUAAAUAAUCUUCCAUGUCUACUAGUUAGAUGAGCCUCUAGAUGUAGCAACACACAUUUUUUUCUUUUUUUUUUUUAAUUUUUCAAUUUGUUUUAAAGGUUAAUUCAAAAGAAAUCUAGAGAUCGUGUAUAAAAUAAUAAACUACUAAGUUGUAUGAAGAAUGAGCAAAAUGGUUACUCUCCAAGAAAAAUGAUAGGUUCCAAAACUCACUUGGUACUUAUUAUGACAUGUUUAUUCCUUCAAGCAACUCAUAUUUGUCUUCGACAUCAACAUGUAGAGUAGCAAAUAUGGCGUAACAUCUCUUAAGACCAAAGAUAAUACAAAUACUAAAUUUUAAAAUUCAUCAUGUCAUCCAAUGUUAAAACAAAUCACACAAUUUUUUUUCAAACAACAUUAUUAUUAUUAUUUUUUUUGUUUUUUUUAAACGAAGAAAAUUCGUUUCUAGAGUAAUUACAUUCCAUAUUCAGCCAUCUUCAACACAAAAAGUUAGCUACAGUUAGUCUCUACAACAAAAAAUUAGUAAAAACUUAACCAAGAUUCCACAAUUGUCGAUUAUUCCCUCCCCCCAAUCAGAACGAAACAUUAACCAAGAUUCCACAAUUGUCGAUAAUCAGAACGAAACAUUGUCCUCAAUAUUUUAAAGGAAAGAAGUAGAGUUUAGAAGACAUCACCUGGGUGGUGUAACACAGAAGAAAAUAUUUACAGGCGGAGAGUUAAAUCUAAUUUGUACUUCUUACUGCGGCUACUGUUACCAUCAUUAUUUGGAUACUCCAACACCAAGGUCCUGGGAUCUGGCUCUGGUCGAUAAGUUUGUAACAGAUCAAGUACCUCAUUAGCAGUAUGAGCACAAAUAAAAAACUUUUUCGCUGUGGAAGGAAUAAAUUAGUUUUUUAUUGCAUGGUUAAGAAAUGCGAUAGAGCCAUCAUAAAAGUUAUUAACAUUUAACAAACCGAUGAGUUUUUGGUGAAUAUGCAGAUGGGCCCAAGAUGUUUGCCAUAAUUGUAGUUUUCUCUCUGCUAUGCUUCGACCAAGAUCUAUGGCUGCCUCAAUGAACUCUUUAUGUUUGCCAUAAUUAAAUCCAGAAAGCACACAAAUAUUCUUGAAUUGUUUAUUUGGAGUAGCUGCCAUUGGGAUACUUCUCAAAAAUAAUUUGAGAGUGCUAAACAAAACAAAUUAUAUUUAAGAAUCUUGGUGACAGUGGGUCAUAGCUAUAUAUGAGGUAGCAUGUCAAUGUCAAUUAAUGCGUAAAGCACAUGGUUUGAGACAGGGGUGGCUUUAGGUAUAGGCGAACAAGGCCAUCGCCUAAGGCCUCAUAUUUUAAGAAAGCCUCAUUUUUUGAGUAUUUCUUUAAUAAUUCUCUAAUUAAUAAAAUAUUUUUAAUACGUAUUUCAAGAAAUCAAAAAGUUUAUUAGAUAUCUCUCUAUUCUUAAUUAUUCUAUAACGAAGAAUUAUUUUUUAUAAAAAAUCUACAUUUGGGAACCUUAAUUUUAAAGAAAUAUAAUUAAUAAUAUUCUUUAACCUUCAUUCCUUUUCAAUUAUUCAAUAUUAGCAUAUUUGACUUUUAAUAUUUCUUUUAAUUUCUAUUAAAAACCUCAUAAUCUCAAGAAUUAGUAAAUGAAAAAAAUUUCUUGUUCUCUUCUCUACAAAUAAAAUUAUUAUAUUCAUUGGUUCAUUUAAAAUACUUAGUUUCUUAAAAUAUAAAGUCCAUUUUUAUUUUUGAACAUCAACUCAUCAUUUUAAAAUUUUUAUAUUCUAUCAUUCUAAAUAUUCUAUUUGAAAAUAAAAUUAUUUUUAUUUAUUUGUUUGUUUGUUUUUAAUGGUUUUAAUGGAAUAAAAAAAUCAAUCUUCUUGACUAUUUUUUAGGUUUUAUUUUUUAAACUUUUGAUUUUUUUAUUAUUGUUGAAAUUCAAGAAUUAAAGAUGAAAUAAAUUCUUUUUAUAUGUCUUUGAGUAUUAAAAUUAUAAAAUAAUAGAGGUCUCAUAAAAAAAUUCCGCCGAAGGCCCCUCAAACUCUAAAGCCGGCCCUGGUUUGAGAGUCAAAAAGCAAACAGUAAAAAGAAAAAAUGAUAAAAUAAAAUUAUUAAAGAAAAUAAUGCAAAUGAUAAAACAACAGUGAAGUAAAAUAACAGUGAAGUAAAAAGAUAUUUACAGGUAGUUGCGACUGUGGCUCACAUCUUCCUCUGGUUUUACGUCCAGAAACGGCUUGAACGCCCUCUAUAGGUCGAGGAUAGGCUUCCCAUCCAAUUUUCUUAUAAACUGGCAAACAUGGUCGUUUAUAGUUAGAUUCCCGACACUAUAUCGUGUAUUCUCUUUCUGGAAUAAUGGUUAUAGCUGGAGAAUCGCUCCUUGUACAUAUCCACUGGGGUGUGUUUCAAAAGACAAAAGGAUAUCAUCUAAUGACUCAUUAUUCAAGCCAUCUGUAAUGAAUUUAAUCUUAUCUUCUCUAUUAUCAGACACAAUUCCUAAAGAACAUGGUUUUUUAUUGCAUCUCAUUCUGGCACACUUAUGCAAGCAACUAAAAUUCUUCGACCUCUUCGUUUUCUUGCAUAAUUUCCUUUACCACAACUAGGCAUGUAUGCAAUAAAUUUAGGAGGCAACUCACCUGCCACUUGUACUUUUGCCUCGAUUAACCAGCGGAUGUCAGUAUGUAUGUUAUUCCUCAUCAGCAAUCGCAUGCGUUCAGACCGAGCUUUAUAGAUUGUAAGGAGGGCAUUCUGAGGAAGCGAAAGGAAUCGAUUAUGAAGAUUUGCUAGAAUCUCGUUUCUGUCCAUACAUUUGCCUCAGAAGAUCAGUUAUUAUGAGAAACUGAAGUAACCGACUUGAUUGUCACGGAGUACCGUUAUCUAACACUUCAUCGGGGUAACAAACUAAAGCACACAAACAAAGAAAAAUAAGCUAAAACACAUAAAGAAAAUUACAAUCGUCCUCUUAUUGAAUUUACCUUGUAGACACCUCUCUCAAUGUCUCUAAGUUGGCUUUCUAAAUCCUCAACAUGGGAUACUAAUUCUGGUGGUUGCAGAGCCUAAAUAUGAUGUGUUUUACAAAAUCGAAUCUGCCUUUUGAAAUGAGAUUUUACACGUUGAAGUGGUCUAAGAAUGUCCAAGAGGAAUUGUUUAGCUAUGGCACUCAUGGUUAGCAAUGAUAAGAGAAAACUUAAUGGUUAAACAAACACACUUAUGCAAAAAUAAUUUCAAUUAGCAAAAGAAUAGUAAAAAGAAAUAAAAAAAUAAAUCAUCGAAAAGAAAGAAAAAAACUCAAUUCAAAUCUGGUGGGUCACUCAAAUUUAUUUCGGUGUUCUCUCCAUGUGGUUAGUACUCUAGAUAUACCUUUAAUCUUUGACCAUUAACUUUAAAUGUGACGCCGUUCUUUGGGUCCUUAAUUUCAAUUGCCCAUGUGGAAAAACAGUGUGAACAAUAAAGGAGUCAGACCAUCGAGAGCAUAGCUUACCUGGGAAUAGGUGCAAGCGAGAAUUGAAUAAAAGCACUUUCUGACCUGGAGUGAAAGAUUUUCUCAUAAUUUUCUUGUCAUGAAAGACUUUCAUUCGUUGUUUGUAAAUCUUGGCAGUUUCGUAUGCAUCGGUGCGAAUUUCUUCAAGUUCUGUCAGCUGUAAUCUUCUUUCUGAACUAGCUUGCUACAUGUCAAAGUUGAAUUUCUUGAUGGCCCAGUAUGCACAAUGCUCGAGUUCCACAGGUAAGUGGCAAGCUUUUCCAUACACUAACCUGUAGGGUGACAUCCCAAUCGGGGUCUUGAAAGCUGUUCUAUAUGUCCAUAAUGCAUUAUCGAGUCUUAAUGACCAAUCUUUUAUGUCCGACCUCACCGUUUUUUCUAAUAUGUGCUUUAUUUCUCGAUUGGAGAUUUCAACUUGACCACUAGUUUGUAUAUGAUAUGGGGUCGCCACUUUAUAAGUGAUUGAAUACUUCGUCAAAAGAGUUUUGAAUGCUUUGUUACAAAAGUGGGCACCACCAUCACUGAUUAUUGCUCGAGGGAAUCCAAAUCGUGAAACAAUGUUGCUUUUCAAAAAUCCUAUCACCACCUUGUGAUAAUUGGUUCUACAUGGAAUUGCUUCUACCCAUUUCAGUACGUAGUCAACAACAACCAAUAUGUAUUAAUUGCCAAAAGAAGGGGGAAAAUGUCCCAUGAAGUCGAUACCCCAUACAUAAAAAAUCUCAACUACUAAAAUUGAAUUUAGUGGCAUCAUAUUCCUUCGUGUAAUGCUCCCCAUUCGUUGACACCUAUCACAUGAAGAACAAAAAAUGUAAGCAUCUCGAAAUAUAGUUGGCCAAUAGAAACCACAUUGUAAAACUUUAAUAGUUGUUUUUUUAGCACUGAAAUGGUCUCCACAAGCUUGUUCAUGGCAGAAUGAAAGAAUAUUCUAAAUUUCACUUUCUGGGACACAUCGUCUAACAAUUUGAUAUGUACAAUACUUGAACAGAUAAGGGUCAUCCUAAAAGAAAUUUUUUAUUUCCACAAAAAAAAUUGCCUUUGUCUUGCUUGGUCCAAUGCUCUGGAAGUUUACCUGUAACAAGAUAAUUCACGAUGUCAGCAUACCAUGGUAAUACUUCCACACUCAUCAAUUAUUCAUUUGGGAAUGACUCAUUCAAUGUUAAUGGUUCUGUAAUUGUGUCAAAAUGGAGACGAGAGAGAUGGUCAGCCACGACAUUUUCUGUGCCUUUUUUAUCUUUAAAUUUCAAGUCGAAUUCCUGCAAAAGUAACACCCAACGAAUUAGUCUAGCUUUUGCAUCUUUCUUUAUAAGAAAAUAUUUAAGAGCAGUAUGAUCUGUGAAUAAAAUUAUUUUACAACCAAUGAGAUAAGAUCGAAAUUUUUCCAAUGCAAACACUACUGCUAGCAUUUCUUUUUCAGUAGUUGAAUAAUUCAAAUGUACAUCAUUUAAUGUCAUACUAGCAUAAUAAAUAACAUGAGGAAGUCGAUCAACUCUUCGUCUUAAUACUGCUCCUACUGUAUAAUCAGAUGCAUCACACGUGAGCUCAAAUGGUAAGCUCCAGUUUGGGGGCUGAAUGAUGGGUGAUGAUGUCAACAACUGCUUCAAUUUUUCAAACGCCACAAGACAUGAAUCAUCAAAGAUAAAAGGUACAUCUUUAGCAAGUAGAUUGCAUAAGGGUCUAGAAACUUUGCUAAAAUCUUUGAUGAAACGUCUAUAAAAACUAGCAUGCCCAAGGAAAGAUCUUACUUCUCUUACUGUUUUGGGUGGAGGAAGAUUAUAAAUGAGAUCUACCUUGACUUUGUCAACCUCAAUACCUUUGCUUGAAAUGAUGUAACCGAGAAUAAUACAUUGUUUUACUAUAAAAUGACACUUCUCCCAAUUUAAGACUAAGUUCUUCUCAAUACAUCUCUGCAGAACUAGUGUUAGACGAUAUAAACAUUGAUCAAACGAGUCACCAAAGAGAGAAAAAUUAUCCAUAAACACUUCUAGGAAUCGUUCAACAAUAUUAGAAAAAAAUGCUUAAUAUACAUCGUUGAAAUAUAGUAGGUGCAUUACAUAAUCCAAAUGGCAUCCUCCUAUAUGCAAAAGUGCCAAAAGGGCAAGUGAAAGUGGUAUUUUCUUGAUCUUUUGGUGCUAUGUGAAUCUGAUUAUAUCAUGAGUAGCCAUUUAGGAAGCAAUAAAAUUCAUGACCUGCUAAUCUAUCAAGUAUUUGAUCGAUAAAUGGUAAAGGAAAAUGGUCUUUACGCGUGACAGAAUUCAACUUUCUAUAAUCAAUGCAUACACGACAUCUUGUAGUCACUCUAGUGGGUAUCAAUUCAUUAUCAGCAUUCGUAACUACUGUGACUUCUGACUUUUUGGGGACAACUUGUACAAGACUGGCCCAUAAACUAUCAGAAAUGGGGUAAAUGAUACUUGCAUCUAAUAGCUUAAGGACUUCAGUUCUAACAACUUCUUUCAUAUUAUGAUUUAACCGACGUUGCAUUUCUCUAGUAGGUUUAGUAUUUUCAUCAAGGUGAAGAUAAUGCAUGCAGUCUACUGGAUUUAUACAUUUUUUAUGUCAGCUAUGGUCCAUCCUAAUACUCCUUUGUGUUCUUUUAAAAUAUCCAACAACUUACCUUUUUGUUCGUCGUUUAGGGAUAAUGAGAUGAUUACCAGCAGAGUACUUUCUUCUCCCAAAAACACAUAUUCUAAAGUGUUGGGUAAUGAUUUGAGCUCGCGUUUCGGUGGUAAUUCUAAUGAUGGGAUGAGUUUCUUCUCUGAUGGUGCUAGUUGUUCAACUCUUGACUUCCAUUUAUUUGUGUCAAUGGAUUGUGCUAAGUCAAGUAGGGCGUUGAUCUCAUCGACCAAUCUGUCAAUAUCAAAAUCCAAACCAAAGUGAAUUAAGCAUGUUUGUAAAAGGUCAUCACUAAGGUUUGAAAGAAAAGUAUUAUCAACUAAUGUUUCUAUUAAAUCCACAUCAACAAUUCCAUAUCAAAAUCCAAACCAAAGUGAAUCAAAAUCCAAACCAAAGUGAAUUAAGCAUGUUUGUAAAAGGUCAUCACUAAGGUUUGAAAGAAAAGUAUUAUCAACUAAUGUUUCUAUUAAAUCCACAUCAACAAUUCCAUCAUCUGCAUUGUGAGGUUGUUUGGCAAUGUUGAAAAUGUUUAGCUCCAUAGUCAUGUUGCCAAAAGACAACUGCAUAUUUUAUGUUCUGCAUUGAAUGUGAGCAUCCGUAGUUGCCAAGAAAGGCCGGCCUAGGAUAAUGGGGAUGUGCUUCCUUGAAUCCUGGAUUGGUUAAGUGUCAAUUACAAUGAAAUCAACAGGAAAAUAAAACUUGUCUACCUGGACAAGCACAUCCUCCACAAUACCACGAGAUAUUUUUCUAGACCGAUCUGCAAGUUGUAACACCACUGGAGUUGGGUGUAAUUCUCCCAGUCCAAGUUUUAUAAAUAUUGAAUAAGGCAACAGAUUUACAUUAGCUCUUAAAUCUAACAAAGCAUUCUCAAUUAUGUGGUUUCCUAUGCUACAUGAGAUAGUGGGGGAGCCUGGGUCUUUGCAUUUUAGAGGAAUUUUGUGUUGGAGUAUAAAACUAACUUUUUCUGUUAAAAAAGCCUUCUUUUAAACAUGAAUGUUUCUCUUUUUAGUACAAAGGUCUUUAAGAAACUUGGCAUAAGAUGAAACUUGUUUUAUAGCAUCAAGCAAAGGGAUGUUAACACUUACCUGUUUGAAGAUUUCAAGAAUCUCACCGGCGGAUUUUCCUUUUUUUCCCUUAGCUAACCUAUGAGGAAAUGGAGAUUUCGGAACGUAUUCUCGUGGGUUGGUUUCUUCUUUCUCCUUCGGUGGUGAGUCUUUAACAUUUAUAGGUACAAUUUGAUUUGUUUUCGUCACCGACAUCUCUAUUUUGUUGUCGACUUCUUUUCCUUUUCGCAAGUUCAUGACAGCUUUGACCUCUCCGUGCUGCUGUGGUGAAUUAAUACUUGCUUCAUGUACUCUUUUAGGAUUAGGCACUGGUUGACUUGGAAACUUGUCUUUCUCAACAGUCAUUGUCAAAGUCCGAACUGAAGAAGCAAGUUGUCCUACCAUCUUCUCGAGGCUUGAAACUGAUUGGGCUUGUGAGUUGAAGACUGCUCUCAUCUCAUUUCGUAGUUCAACAAUGGUGCGGUUCUGUUGCUCGAUCGUAGAGUGAGUAAGAUUCUUGAGAUUCUGGAAUUAAUCCUCCCAUGGUCUGGGUUGAGAGUAGUUCUGGUUCUGAUAGUAUGGUCUAAAUGGGGGCUGAGAGGUUUGAGGAACUUGAGGAAUUGGUUGCAUUGGUGGAGCAAGAGCUGCUGGUCCAUUCUGUUGGAAUCCUUGAGACCAUGAAAAAUUGGGGUGGACUCUCCAUCCAGGGUUAUAUGUGUUAGAGUAUGGGUUGUAAUUUGAUGGUUUUGUCAUUACACCUAUGACAUUGUCUUGAUAUGAAUAUAAGUCAUGGUCAUGUGGUUUUGUUGAUUUAGCAAUCGUUAACGAUGCUAUUUUUUGAGAGACCUUCAACCAUUUCUUUGACUUCUUUAAUUUCUGAAGUUGACUCACCAACGUUAACCUCAUUCACUCCUUUAAUUCUUUUAGUAUUCCUGAGCGAUCGACUCCGUUAUUGGGAAUUAUCUGCUUGUCGCUGAAAGAAUUCACAAAUCUCUUAUCCACUUUUUGAUAUUAGCUCUCCUCCACUUGUUGCCAUUAGCCAUUCUUGCACAUGCGGCAAUAAUCCCUUCAAAAAGUAUUGGCAUUUGUGUCAUUUCUCGUACCCAUGAUGUGGACACUUCAAGAGUAGCUCAUUGAAUCACUCCCAUGUUUCGAAAAACUGCUCGUCUUCUCUCUGGGUAAACUCUGAGAUUUCCCUGUGAAUAACAUUGGUUUUAUGCACUGGGAAAUAUUUAUUCAAAGAUUUUGUUACCAUUUUUUCCUAUGAUGUAAUGCUAUUAGCAGGCAAUGUAUUGAGAUAUGAACGAGCUUUACCCUUUAAAGAAAAUGGGAAUAAUAUGAGUUUAACAUAAUCAUCUGAAAAAUUCUCAUAUUUAAAUGUUUGACAAACAGCAUGAAAAUCAUUCAAAUGAUUAUAUGGGUCCUCAUUUUCUAGGCCAUAGAAUGUUGGGAGACAAUUUAGCACACUAGGUUUUAAUUCAAAAUUCCUAGCAGCUACAUUUGGGUAUCUUAUGCAUAAUGUGCUCAAAUUAGCUAAGGGACUGAAAUAGUCCUUAAAUGGCCUCUCCUGUGGUCAUGGUUGUUGUUGCAAAUCUAUUUUUUUUAACGUAUUUGUGUGUGCGAAAUAUUUUUUCAAGUUCAAGGUCUAUAGGUUCAAGAUUAGGUAAUAAUGACUUUCGACCAUGCAUGUAAAGAACAAAAAAAUAAAUGGAAACAAAAUAAAUAAAAAUAAAAAUAAGGAGAAAUUACAAUACUAACCUUAUCACGCUGUUAAAAUCUUUCUAUAAAAAAACACUAAAAAAAUGUAUGAAAUAAAUUAAUAAGAUAACGAAAAAUUACAAAGAAAAAUAACUUGAAAAUUAAAUUACAAAAAUUUAAAGAAGAGAAAAAGAAAAGAAAUUCUUACCUCAAAAUGCAGAUUUACUCUUUUUUUUAAUAAGAAAAAAAUUACAAGAAAACAAUUAAAAGAAAUUAUUUGCAAAAAUUAAUUCUACAAAUUAAAAUAACUUACCUCCCCGGAAACGGCGCCAAAAACUUAUUGUGCCAAUUUUAUUAAACUCUCAAGCGCACGAAUCUAUUGUACCGUAUGCGCGAUUUUUGGUCCACUAACAUGCUGCCACGUCACCGAUCAAUAGUGCAUAAGAAUUUUCUCCAAUGGAAUCGUGACACCUCAUCAGUCAAUGCCACAUCAUCGGUCAAUUCCACGUCAUCGUUCCGUAUGUGUGAACAGUAACAUGGACAGUACCGUACAUGUGAAUAGUAUCAUGCAUGUGAACAGUGCCAUUUUUCUUUUUAUGCUCCUCCUAAAGUUUUCGGCUGUCCUGAGUUCAAAAGUCUGAGCUCUCGUUCUGUCGUCUGAGCUAUCGUUCAUUGUAAAAUGAUCAUGAUGCCCCUAAAAUAUAUAAAAUACUUAAUUAAAAUAAAGUACAUAUAAUUAAAUCACAAAAAGCUUAAAUACAUAAAAGUAAGAAUGUUAGUAAAACUUGAAGUAUAAAAUGACGAUUUUCUCCUUUAUAAAUAUACAUUUUCUAACACUCAACAGAAGGCAGAUAAUUCACAAUGGAUAUAGGUAGAGAAUAAGAAAUGGGGAGAAAAUUUCAGUGUACAGAGGCAACUGGAUUCCAAGACCAUCAACAUUCAAGCCUCUUUCUAGAAUAAAGAUGCUUCAAUGCUGGUAGAUAACGAAAAUAAUUGGAAGACAAAUCUGAUUCAGCAGAACUUUGUGAAGGAAGAUGCAGAAGCCAUUCUAAGCAUUCCCUUGCCUAGAAGACAAAGUGAAGAUAAAGUAAUCUGGCACUACGAUAAAAGAGGGAAAUAUAAAGUGAAAAGUGGAUACCAAGUGGCUCUAAAUUUAAAAUUUCCAGAUUCUCUUAAUUGCUCUAACAGUAGUAGUAGUAACUGGAGUUUUAUUUGAAAGCUCACUCUCCCGGCCAAAAUCAAGAUUUUCAUCUAGAGGGUAGUAAAAAAUUUAUUGCCCACAACUGAAAAUUUGUGGAAGUGAAAGAUUGUUCAUGAAGCCUAUUGCAAACGAUGUGGAAAUAGAGUGGAAAACACCAUGCAUGCUCUGAUUACUUGUAAAGCUGCAAAGAAAGUUUGACAACUCUCACCUCUGGCAAGUUCCUUUCAGGAAAUGGGAAAUCCUAAUAUUUUAGGAGACUUAAUGAGAUUACAGAAGAAGCUAAGUAGAGCUGACAUGGAAAUGAUGAUGAAUAUCCUUUGGGUGAUCUGGUAUGAUAGAAACCAAUUUGUUUGUGAAGAUUUGAAGUUAGACCAAGAUUAUCAAUGGCCAAAGCUAAAGCAAUUAAUAAGGCUUUCAGAAGAACUUAGUUUCCAGAGAUUACGAAUGAAGAAAAAUUACAGAAGACAAAGAAAACAGUUUGGACUCCCCUACCCCAUGGAUGGCUAAAGAUCAAUGUUGAUGCAGCUACUGAUUCAAAUAAGAGUUAUGCUGGAUUAGGUGCAAUAAUAAGAGACUCUACUGGAAAAUGCAUAGUUGUAGGCAUAAGAAAUGUAAAGUUCAGCGGAGAGGUGUCAAGUGUGGAGGCAGAAGCAGCUGAAUGGGGAGUGCAAAUAGCCCAUUAGAUGGGUAUGCAAUCAAUAAUUCUGGAAACAGACUCUCAAGAAGUAGUAGAUUCGAUAAACGAUAGAGAAAGGAGUUUAACAUAGAUAUGUUGGACUAUUUCAGAAAUUCAAAGCUUAAAGAAAACCUUCAGUUCUUUCGAAACAAAAUAUGUGCCCAGAGCUUGUAAUACUAGUGCCCAUCUUUUAGCUAAAAUAGCACUGGAAAAGUUGGAAUCUUUUGUAUGGGUGGAAAAUUUCUCACCUAAGAUUAGACAUGUAUUCACCGGGUUGAAGUAAUGAAAGCUUUACUUUUCCAUUAAAAAAAAAAAGUUCGUCUAGAAGGUUGACCUUGAUUGAUAGGGCAUGUGAUAUGCUAAAUCAUAUGAAGUUUUCUUGAUAUUGAAUUAUCAUGGAAAUGGUACAUGGUUUAUAGGGGAUGCUGGAAAUAUUUACAUUGAAAUUGAUAAGGAGACAUAAAAAAAAGGCUAUUAUUAAUGCAAUUUAUAGGUCUUCAACAAAUUAGAUCGACUUUAUUUAGUGUUUGCAUUUAACGUAAUAGACAAUGAAAUUAAUGAUCAGAAGUUUAAUAUGAUUGUAGAUGGCAGGUAAUCCACGAAUCUACAGUGAUUUUACAUGUUCUUGUUCGUUCUUUAUUUUUGUGUACAUAAAGCCUUCGAUAAAUGAUAGUGUAGAUUGCCGCACUUUUUUUUUACUGUAAUAAUCUACAGAAAUUUAUUGGGAUUUCAAGUUUUAUUUAAGAUUCGUUAAAAAAUAUACUACCGCUAACAACAUUUGAAGAUAAAUAUACCCUUAUCUUUAAUUUUGUGAAAAGGAAAAAAAACCCUAAAAAAGGUAAAUUCACGAAGUUUUAUUGAGUUGUCUCUUAGAUUUUUAUGGACAUAUUCCUUCAUAAUUUUGAAAAUUCUUCUUUCAAGAUACAAAAGAUAUUCUAAAAUUUAGAUUCAAUUAGUAUGAUUGUUCGGAUCUGUUAGACCUUGAUCAAAUUAAAUCAACCAAGAUUCCCAAGAUUUAUCUAAACACUCUUAUGCUUGAUUAAGAAAUACUUAAGCAAUAAUAAAAGAUACACAAAAGGAACUAAAGAACAGCAACCAACGAAAAAAACAGAUUUAAGUGGUUCAGCCUGGAGUUGGCUUACAUCCACUGAAGAACAGAGCAACAAUCUUUAUUCAAUCACCAGGAACAAGAUACAAGUCUUUAGAUGAAGUUACAAGCAUCACACACCCUGAUUCCACAUUAUUUAAGGCUGUAUAUACAUGCUUAAGUGAGCCCAGAAAUUACCCCCACCAGUCAGCUCUCCUCUGUCAAUAAAAACCAGAUCUUCCCGCUCUUGUAACAGAACAUAACGACCUUCAGAGCCACGUGUUUGCUUCACGUUGAAUGAAGGCUCCAAAACGGCACUCAGCAAAGUCGUAUUGAAUAAGUGUAAGCAUGUGACGACCACGUGCUUGACUUAUUCGCAUAUAGAUGAACAAACAGCUUUGUCGUAUGGCUUUGCAUGAUCUUAGCCGACCAGUCGUAUUCUGUACCAAUCAUGAACUGACAUGUCAUAUGAGUCUCUGGAAAUCAGUUUCACAGCUCACACUUCAACAUUCUCCACCUUGAGCUUGAAACCCUCAUGAACCUGUUAUUCUUCUCUUCAACUAUCUGUCACUUAAUUCUGACAGAUCCCUGCUAAAUCUAAGUAAAGCUUAAACUUAGCUCUAAUAACUGGUUUAGUCAGCUUAUCUGCAACAUUCUUGUCUGUAUGAAUCUUCUGCAACUUCACUGUUACUUUCAACACUUCUAGUUUUAUGAAAUGCAACUUGAUAUCGAUGUGCUUGGUCUUUUCAUGAUGUGUCUGAUUUUUGCUCAGACAUAUAGCACUUUAGCUGUCAAAGUUUAUCAUUAUCGACCUCUGGUCAACACCAAGUUCUUUAAGGAUUCCUUUCAGCCAGAUGACUUCUUUGACUGCUUCUGCAGUAGCUGUGUAUUCAACUUCUAUGGUUGAAAGUGCCACAACACUCUACAGUUGAGCUUUCCAAUUGACAGUACAGUUGUUGAGUGUGAAGAGAUAUCCUGUAAGUGAUCUUCUUCUAUCCAGAUCCCUAGCAUAAUCAGAGUCCACAUAACCAACAAUCUAACUGUCAUCUUGUCUCUGUCCUCCAUACAUUAACCCAUAUGUUGCUGUCCCAUUUAGGUACCUGAGAAUCCAUUUUACAGCCCUCUAGUGUUCCUUUCCAGGGUUUGUCAUAUACCUGCUUACAACACUCACAGCAUAGGAUAAAUCAGGCCUAGUUAGGAUCAUAGCAUACAUCAAGCAACCUACAACACUUGCAUAAGGUAUAUUUAUCAUCUCAGAUAUUUCAGCUUCUGUUUUUUGACACAACUGAUCUGAUAAUCUGAAAUGAGGGGCUAAGGGUGUUUGAACUGGCUUUGAGUUUCCCAUUCCAAACUUGUCAAUUACCCUUCUGAUGUAUUCUUCCUGACUGAGAAACAAAGUGCCAGCUUUUCUAUCCAUGUGUAGCUGCAUUCCCAGAAUUUUCUUUGCUGGACCAAGAUCCUUCAUGUCAAAUUCUCCUUUAAGCUUCUGUUUCAGGUUUUCAAUUAAGCUCAUGCUUACACUGGCAAUAAACAUGUCAUCUACAUACAAUACCAGAUAAACCAUCAUGCCUGAAUCUUCUCUGAAGUAAACACAACAGUCUAAGUUACACCUUUGAAAUUUCUGCUCUAACAUAAAGCUAUCAAACCUGAGGUACCACUGUCUUGGGGACUGUUUAAGUCCAUAGAGAGACUUCUUCAGAUAACAAACCCAAUCAGCCUUUGAUUUGACUGUGAAUCCUUCAGGCUGAGCCAUUACUAUGUACUCUUGUAAUUCCCUAUGUAAGAAUGUUGUUUUUACAUCUAUUUGUUCCAAAUGCAUGUUGUUUACAGCCACCAGUGACAAGAUGAUUCUUAUAGAGGCAUGCCUCACUACAGGUGAAAAUACCUCAGUAAAGUCAAUCCCCUCCUUUUGAGUGAAGCCCUUUGCAACAAGUCUGGCUUUGAAUCUCACUGGUUCCACUCCUGUGAUACCUUGCUUGAGUUUGUACACCCAUUUGCAUCCUACCACCUUUUUCUUGUCUGGUUUUUUCACAAGUGUCCAGGUGUCAUUCUUAUACAAAGAAUCCAUUUCUUCCUUCAUGGCUUUCAACCACUGGUCUGUAUUUUUCCCUGAAACAGCUUCCUUGUAGGUUUUAGGUUCAUCAUAAUCCAGUUCAUGAGCUGCUGUUAAUGCAUAUAUAAUCAGAUCUGCAUAUGCAUACUUCUUUGGUGCCCUUAUCUCUCUCCUUUCUCUAUCCCUGGCCAGCUGAUAAUCAUGCAAUGUUGUUUGUUUUUCUGAAAUUUCAUCAGAAUCUUCUGCAUCUCUUUCCUCAUCUUCUGAUGUCUCAUAUGAAGUUGUAUCUCCAGAUUUCCAGUAAGCUCCACCUUAAUCUGAUCUCUCAGUACACCAGUGUUUUUGUCUGAGUUUUCAAGCUUCUGCAUAUAGCUCUUAAGCAUUUCCUGUUCAUUGAAAAUCACAUCUCUACUGACUAUGCACCUGGGUGGUUUAAGAUCAGUACACCAUAGCCUAUAGCCCUUCACACCCUCAGGAUAUCCAAGGAAGACACAUUUCAGAGCCCUAGGCUCAAGCUUUCCUUGCUUUACAUGUGCAAAUGAUGGGCAGCCAAAUAUCUUCAAAUCAGAAUAGUUAGCAGCUCUGCCUGACCACAUUUCUAUAGGUGUUUUAAAGUCUAUGCCACUGGAUGGACUUCUAUUGACUAAAUAGCAAGCUAUCAUAAGUGUCUCAGCCCAUAAGGAUUAAGGAAGUUUUGAGUGAAUUAGCAGACAUCUUACUUUGUCCAUGAGAGUCCUAUUCAUCCUCUCAGCAAGUCCAUUUUGCUGUGGAGUAGGUCUUACUGUCUUGUGUCUUACAACUCCAUUCUGAGCACAGAAAUCAUUGAAUUGUUAAUUGCAAAAUUCUAAACCAUUAUUAGUCCUUAGCCUCUUGACUUUUCUACCUGUUUGUGUUUCUACCAGUGCUUUCCACUGCUUAAACUUCUCAAAGGCUUCAUUUUUACUCUUUAAGAGAUACACCCAAACCAUUCUAGAAUAGUCAUCAAUCAAGGAUAGGAAAUAUUUAGCUCCACCUAAAGAAGUUGUCUGUGCUGGUCCCCACAGAUCAGAGUGGAUGUAAUCUAAGGUUCCUUUGGUCUUAUGCACUGCAGUUUUGAAGCUAGUUCUAGAGGAUUUUCCUAGGACACAUACCUCACAAAACUCAACAGAACUUAUCUUAUCAUCCCUCAAGACUCCCUGUUUUUUUAAUAUCUUCAUCCCCCUUUCACUCAUAUGCCCCAAUCUCAUGUGCCACAUUAGUGUUUUGUUUGGAUUCUUACUGGUUGAGACACUAACAUCCCCUGUAAUGGUUGUCCCUUGCAGCACAUACAAGCCAUUAUUUUUGGCCCCCUUCAUUAUCACCAUGGACCCUCUAAUUAUCUUCAUAAUCCCAGAUUCCAUUUUAAUGAUGCAGCCUAUUUGAUCAAGGAUUCCUAGUGAUAUUAAGUUUCUUUUUAGCUCAUGAACAUGUCUUACUUCACUUAAUUCCCUAAUCACCCCAUCAAACAUUUUAAGCCUAAUGGUUCCAAGUCCAACCACUUUACAAAGUGAGUUGUUUCCCAUCAUAACUUCCCCACCAUUAAAAAAUCUAUAACUGGAAAAAAGAUUUCUAUCAGGGCACAUGUGAUAAGUGCAUCCAGAAUCCAACACCCACUUACCAUUGGUUUGAGUUCCAGUGACUAGAAGAACACCAGCUGAGUCAUAGCCUUCAUCAUCCUUUUCUUCUGAUGCAACAACAACAUCUCUAUUCUUCUUGGGUCCAUCUUUUUUCUUGUUCUUUCUCUCUAGACAGUCUUUCUUGAAAUGUCCCUCUUUGUGGCACUGGAAACAUUUCAGACUGUUAUUCUUUGACUUUGAUUUGCUGUGUUUCUAUUCUUGUUACUAUAAUCCUUCUUCUCUGGUCUACCCCUUGCUGUCAAGCCUUCACCAUCUUUUACUUCUGACUUCCUUAUGACCUCUUUUGAACUGAGAGAGUCUUUCACAUCAGCCAUGGUUAUUGACUGCCUUCCAUAUAGUAAAGUGUCCACGAAAUGUUCAUAGGAAGGUGGGAGAGAUGAUAACAAGAUUAUUGCCUUUCCUUUAUCUUCCAGUUUCACAUUGAUAUCUUCAAGAUCAAGAAUGAUUCUGUUGAAGUUAUCAAUGUGAUUUGCCAGAGAGCUACCCUCCUCCAUCUGCAAUGUAUACGGCCUCUUCUUGGUGCAAAGUCUCUUGGUUAGAGACUUUUUCGUAUAGAGAUCUUCUAAUUUCUUCCAGAGGCCUGCAGCAGUUGUUUGAUCCCCAACUUCCCUCAGAACUCCAUCACCCAGACUCAAGAUUAAGGUGCUAUGAGCCUUGUCUAAUGCAUCUUGCAUUUCUUCUCCACUGAGCUUGCUGGGCUUCUUUUCAGAUCUUGGAUCCCCCAGUGUUUCUUCAAGCCCUUGAUGGACCAACAAUGCUCUCAUCUUGAGCCGCCAUAAAUGGAAGUCAUUCUCUCUUGUAAAUUUCUCUACUUGAAACUUAGAGGUUGCCAUUUCUUGGAUAAAAAAUCAGAGUUGUUGGGCUCUGAUACCAAUUUGUUAGACCUUGAUCGAAUUAAAUCAACCAAGAUUCCCAAGAUUUAUCUAAACACUCUGAUGCUUGAUUAAGAAAUACUUAAGCAAUAAUAAAAGAUACACAAAAGGAACUAAAGAACAGCAACCAACAAAAAAAACAGAUUUAAGUGGUUCAGCUUGGAGUUGGCUUGCAUCCUCUGAAGAACAGAGCAACAAUCUUUAUUCAAUCACCAGGAACAAGAUACAAGUCUUUAGAUGAAGUUACAAGCAUCACACACCCUGAUUCCACAUCAUUUAAGGCUGUAUAUACAUGCUUAAGUGAGCCCAGAAAUUACCCCCACCAGUCAGCUCUCCUCUGUCAAUAAAAACCAGAUCUUCCUGCUCUUGUAACAGAACAUAACGACCUUCAGAGCCACGUGUUUGCUUCACGUUGAAUGAAGGCUCCAAAACGGCACUCAGCAAAGUCGUAUUGAAUAAGUGUAAGCAUGUGACGACCACGUGCUUGACUUAUUCGCAUAUGGAUGAACAAACAGCUUUGUCGUAUGGCUUUGCAUGAUCUUAGCCGACCAGUCGUAUUCUGUACCAAUCAUGAACUGACAUGUCGUAUGAGUCUCUGGAAAUCAGUUUCACAGCUCACACUUCAACAUGAUCUUUUCUUCUUAAUUAGCAGUCUUUUUUUUUUCAAUCGCUAUAUAUAUGUUUCUUUAAUGGUUAAUGCUCACUAUGUUCCCUAGGCUGUAUUUAGGUUCCUUUCACGAAUGCUUAAAAAAUCAGCGAGAGAAUCUUUGAGGUUUGUAUAAUUGUAUUCCUUUUCCUUCUUUCUUUGCUUCUUAUUCAUUGUGCUUUCAUAUUUCAAUGUUAGGCUGAAUUUAAGAAUGACAAACAAGCCCAACCCGUCUCUUGGCCCAAUUGAUCCAACCCUUAGUUUGAAGGGGUAGAGUUUUUUAAAGGCAGGAGCCCUCCGACGCUGAGCCUCAACGAGAAAGUUAACAAUGAAAAGAAGUUCAGUAAUCUUGCCAUCAUUCGUUUGGAUGUUAGUUCAAGAUUAUAACGAACAACAAUAACAACAAAUGUGAGGACUGAUAUUCUUAAUAAGACCAUCAAAAUAUCUCAAUCAACAGGAAUAGUGAGCAUUUCCUUGUAAAAUAGAAAGAAAGCUAUGACAGCGCGCGAAACAAGAAUUGCACGAAAAAUAAAAUAGAACAAAGCAAGAGUCCUUAGCGUCAUAAGAGGGAAGCCUAGAAAUAUCUGAAGGCGGAGAGUCCCACAAAACAAAAUCAUGUUAUAUUUGUACGUUCGCAAACCGUCUUAUUAGGAAUAUUCUUGAUUAAUGUUUCUUUACGUGGGUUUCAAUUAUCUUAGUUUAUGGUUUAUAAAAAAAGGGGUAGUUAAUAAUAUUCUUAACUACCGAGUACUGAUCAUAAUAAGUUGUGAAUAGAAUCGUUUUUGAUGAGUUUUGUAGGCUGUCUGCGGUGCACGGUUUCAUUAUUUGAUGAGUAAAAGUAAGGGUUUAUUUUUUUUUAUGUCUAAAGUCUUAAUUUGACUUGAUUUAAGAUGUUUUGGUAUUUUAGCUUGUUUGGUUUUGUAUCUAAAGUCUUAUUAUAAGAUAUUUUCAUUUGAAUGGAAAAAAUAAAAUUUUUUAAUUUUUAUCUGAAUGAGAAAUUAUUUUUUUUCUCACAAGUACUCUCAUCAAAUGAAUUUAUUUUCUACCUAACUAUUAUGUAAAACCUAAUAAUCAUUUGAUUUCUUUUAAUCGAAAGAAUUUUUUUUUAAUUAACUGUCUAUAACAUAAUUUAGAUGUCAUAUUAGAAUUUCUCUUGACCUCAACUUUUGCUUAGUAUUAAUUACUUAACAUGCAUUCAAUAUGUGCAAAUUCUUUUAUUAUUAGAUAACAAUUUUUUUUACUGUAUAAAUACUAUGUUAAUUUGUAAAAAAUAAUGUUAUCAAAAUUAUUUUUCAUAAAUUAUAUAUCAAAUGUUUACCUUAUAAAUAUUUAUAACAUAUAAAUACUAUUGUACUAAAUAACAUUGCAAGUAUAUACCUAUUUAAAUUAACUAAAUAUAAAUAACACUUUCAAGGUCAUAAGUAUAAAAGUAUUAUAUUUAAGAUGUUUUGAGUGUAUAAAACUUAUCACUUACAGUUAGACAUUAAAAAAAAAAAAAAAUUAUCAUUCAAACAUAUGCUUUCAGACCCAUUUAGAUUUAUAAAAAAAAAAAAAGAAGGCUACAUAAGAUUAUCUAAAUCAUGAAUAUAUAGUCAAAAAAAAUUAUUUUCGUAUUUUUUUUAUUUUUUUAAAUAUAGAGUGGUGGGGCAUUUGAACUUACAAAAUAUACAACAGCCACAAAUUUAAACAAAAUUUUUGCCUUCAAAUCAGAGAAGGAUGAAGCUAGCUGAAGAUUAGAUAAAACGAAUAAUUAAUUUCUUUUAUAAUCUUUUCUCUAAUUUAAUGUUUAUCUUUACUCUCACUGUUCUUUCCAUUGACAACUUGGUAUGUUCUUCUUCUUUAAUAAUAUUAUUUCUCUCUCAAAAAUUUGAACUUGAAUGAUUAGUUAAAUAAACCUAUUUAAAAAUUACAUUCGAACUUGCAGUAUUAUAUGUUUUUUUUUUUUUUGCAAUAAUAGUUUGAUAAUUUUAACAGCAAUUAGUUUGAAGUCAUGUCAGACGAAGUAAAGCCUCUCUCUUCAUUACGUUUAUCGAAUGUUUUGCAUUCAUGCAGUAUCGAUCGCGAUCGACCCAGACACUAGUGUUGUAUAAAAGAUUCUCUUUUUAUUAUUAUUAUUUUAAAAAUUUUUUUUUUUUUUUUUUUUUUUUUUUUUUUAUGUGUAUAAAAGAUUCUCUUACAACCACAUAACUAAUAACGUCGUUUUGGUCAAAGUAAGUCAAUAACUAACUCUCUUUAAGGCAGGUUUGUGAAAUUUGUCACAUAUUUAUUGAGGAAGCAAAUAUCCGUGACAGCCACAACACAAAAGCACAGGAGACUCGAGCAAAAACGUCUUGGUCUUUUUAUAAAAAAAUAAAAAAUAAAGUCUUGGUCUCGGUCAUUUCACUUGUGGAUCCCUAUAAAGCCAAAACGAUUGUUUCUCUCUUCUGCAAGAGACUGAAAAAAUGGCUGUCGGUAAAGAUGACGUAGAGAUUAUAAAGCCACGUACGGACAAGAGACAGUACCGGAGACUCGUCCUUAAAAACUCUCUUCAUGUCCUUUUGAUCAGCGAUCCUGAUGCCGAUAAGGUAACCAGCAAGACCCAAAUUUUUAAAAUUUUUUUUUCAGUUUAAUUUAAGCUAGUAAUCUUGUGGGUUUGGUUUGUUUUAUUGUUUUUGCUUCAGUGUGCUGCUUCAAUGAAUGUCAGCGUUGGCGCCUUUUGUGACCCUGUUGGUCUCGAGGGCCUUGCCCAUUUUCUCGGUAUAUUUAAUGUAUCUUGUGGCAAAUUUGAAUUCGUGAUUUGGGAAAUUUUAGUCUUGUAUGAAUGUAAAUUGUAGAAGUUACUUAAAAAAAAAAAGGGGAUGGGUUUUUGUGAGAUGACUCUAAACGUGUUUUCGGCUGAUCACAGAUUAAAAUACAAUGUGUUGCUCAUAUUGAAAUUAGAGUAGAAAGAGUUAAACAGAAUUAGAAGUUUCACUUGUACUUUCUUUUUGGUUCAAGUAUUUCUUCAUUGUAUGUUCAGGCUUGUUUAUUUCCUGUUAAAGUUAUAGCAUUGUUUCAUUCUCGGUUCUUUCAUCUCUUCCUAAUUUGCCUACUUUCUUUUCCCUUUUCACUGUUUGCUAUUGUCAUUGAUAUUUUUUUUUUUUUUGAAUUCUGUUGUGUGGUGAUUUAUUGGAUGAUUCUUUUACUCUCCUAUUCUACAUUAUUAUUGCUUUUAGCUGUAGUUAGAUAAUUAUAUGGCUGUAGGGGACAAUUUCUGUGGCCUGUUUAAUGAGUUCGAGUAUUUAUAACUUGCUUUAGUUACUGUUUUCCUGUUUCUUUAAUGUGCAGAGCAUAUGCUGUUUUAUGCUAGUGAGAAAUAUCCAGUGGAGGAUAGCUAUUUAAAGUACAUAUCAGAGGUAUUGGCCCUCAAUAAUGUCCUGUUUCACUUAUUUCUAGUAUGUUUUCUUAAGUAAAAGUUUCAGAGAAUCAUGCUUUAUGCUUAAUCUUGCUCUUUGAUACUAAUAAUAGACUUUAACUAGAAGUGGAUGGAGUUGGCGAGAUACACAGACAAGGAAAAAAAUUUUGAAUGCUAUUCCCUUGGAAUAUAACUGACUAAAAAGACACAUUUUCCCUCCAGAGGAAAAUCUUAACUUUUUUGUUAAUCAGGUGUUUGUAAAAACAAAAUCGUGAAGCAAAUUCUUCACUUGAUUUGUAGGGCUGAUGGGAGUUUUAGUUUUAAUUACAUUCCUCUAUUUUCCUGCAAGCCAUUGCGGUCAGAUUGUAUCUUAGUGAUUGGAAGUGGAAAAGGUAUUCUUGUUUAAAUUUACAGCCAUGGAUUGUUCUAUUGUGGAAUGGGGUGAUGACUCCAUUUAUGUUCUUUUCUCUGUGGAGCUGACCCAUAACCGGAUUGGAUUUAGAUGUAGUCAGUUUAUUCAACAAGGGUUUAGAAAGUUCGCUGGCACGGUGGUCUAUCAAUUUCUUGUGAUAUGAUUUGAUAAUGUUUGGUAAUGUAGUCGAAAAAAAUACUUUAAUUGUCAAUAUGUAUUCUUACCGUUCUAAGUGAUGCUGUGGACUUUCCAUGCAUUGACUGAUGUAUGCUGGAGUGAAAAAUUAUGAAUUACAUUGUGAACAUGAUCCUCUCAAGCUGUCUUUUGAUACUUGAGACAACUUGUGCCAGAAAUUUCCUUUUUACUUUAGAUUUUAUGUCUUUAGGUUACUGAUCUUGCAUAGUGUCAGGGUGAUGAUUUAGAUAAUAUUGCAAUAGUGAAUAAUGACCACAGCCUUACUACGGGUUGUUGAAAGCACAUCCUAAGACUAGUUGUGAUUCCACAUCCUAUCUUUGCUUAUGUCUUCUAGUAGAGUCAUUGGGUGGUGGUUUGGUAUUGUUUAUGGUUAAUGUUGAUCUUAAAUACAGUUUGAGACAUGUGAAGAGGAAUCUGGAGUCUGAAAUUUGUUUUUAUUUUUAAGUUUGAUAUAUAAUUUAUUGGGGCAGCAACUCUAGAGACCUUGUAGGAAAGAUGGUUUGUGGGUGAUUAUUAUGGCACUGCAAUCUUCUUUACGGGAUAAAGGAAUACCUCCUACCUAGGUCCUUGGUACAGGUGUCCUGUUUUGAUUGGCGCAUUCAUAUUUUGGUAGCAGAAGUACUGAAGUAUGUCUUUCAUGUAGUUUUGCUUCCCUGUCUUGAGCUUUAUUUGCAUUAUUUAUAGAAAUCUGGUUCGCUCCAGAGAUUGAUCAUUUCCUUUUUAAUUUGGCCCCCUGUGUAUGGGUGGUAUCACUGGUAUGUUCCUUGAUGUGUCUGUUUGGAGAGUGCACUUUUUGUUCUCUUUUAAGGAUUAUCUUGGGAAUUCUUUUGGGGUAGAAACUAGGGUGUCAUUACACAACUGAGCACAUACAUUUUAGGUUGUGUGAUCAAGUGAUAAAUACAAACUGCUCUCUGCUUUAUUUCUUGAUUAAUCCCUGUAAGUACGCCGAGCAAGGUGUUGUUCUAAUUUUCACCGCGGAUUAAUUUUCUUAUGCACAGCAUGGAGGAAUGGCAAAUGCGUUUACAUCUUCUGAGCAUACAAACUACUACUUUGAUGUAAACCCUGACUCCUUUGAAGAAGCUUUGGACAGGUACAUGCCAUUUUUCAUUUUUCUUAAGUAUCAAAUCUUUCAGUACUUGAGUUUUUGAGUCUGAGUCUUUCCUGUGAUUUACUGCACAGAUUUGCACAGUUCUUUAUUAAACCGUUGAUGUCAGCUGAUGCUACCAUGAGGGAGAUUAAAGCAGUUGAUUCUGGUUAGUUGUUCAUUGUAGAGUCUAGCGCAUUAAUGUACUUUCAGAAUCAUGUUUCAUUAUCAUUAAUUCAGUUCCGCUUUCCUUCCUCCUCCCUCGCUUGUAUCCAGAGAACCAGAAAAACUUGUUGUCUGAUGUUUGGAGAUUAAACCAGGUAUUGCUUACUUCCAUUAAUUUAAUAUUUGGAGAUGAUUUUUCCUUGGGUUUCUAUUUUCUAAGUUAUAUCAUUAUAUCAUUUGUUAUCAUUCACAAGAGAUCUUGGACUCCAUUGCUGAGCCUGAGUAUCAGUUUUGAAGUGAAAGUUCUCCUUCAUAAAGCUUUAUUUUAUUGCUGCAACUUGUGUAUCUUUUUUUUUUUCCCUUUUUUCUGGUUGCUAUCCUAUGUUCUUUGGUAUAAGAAGUGCUCCAUUGAACUGAAAAAAAACCUGAACAUGCACAGACAUCUGACCUUUGGCCAUUAUUUGAAUAGAUUGAGAUAUAAUUUGCUAAAAUUGAUAUUCCUUGGUUGAACUCGUAACACAAUAAAAUUUGGUAAGAAGAAAUAAAUUAUUAUAAGCUGGUGUUUUAUGGCACAAGGGUAUUGGGGAUUGUGUAGGUCUUGUUCUCUUACAAUGCCUUUUGAUUGGUGUUCUAUGGAAUAUGGUCUAUCAUUCUUCAUAGCUUAGUGUUUUAGGUUCACGACAAUUUUAGCAGUGCUGAUUAGUUGGAAAAUGGAUGAGUGGUAAUGGACUUAGCUUGAUUUGGGGUCUUUAUGUUGUACUCGUCUGCCAAAAAAUCAUUUUCACUCGUCCUAUUAUGGAAUUUUAAGAGAGCUUAAGCACUAGGCUUUAGUUUGGUUCUGUUUUGGUGUUUCUUAUAUAUUUCCCUUGUACCACGGUUGCUCCACAAUUUUGGUACUGCUUGUGUAAUAAAUUUGUUACGUAUAAAUAGAAAAAGAAUAGGGCUUUUGAUAAUUGGCCUGUAAAGUGCUUAUUGAUUGUUAGGUGCCGAUAUUAUGGUACAAAGGGUGGCUUAAGAGUUGAAAUUAUGUGUAGAAUUUUGAAUUUUGAAAGGAUAUUGGUCAGGGUAGCAUUUGAGGCCAAAAUAUCAGGUUAAGAUAGUGUUGCAUGAGCUACUUUUACUUGGAUGGGAACAGUAAUCCAAGAAAGAUGAAUAAAUAGAUGUAUUCAUCACAUGUAAUGUAUGGUGCCUCAGCAUCAAUUUUUUCCCAUACACUUAUAUCACACGAUUCUAAGGAGUGCAACUGAUCUUCAUUUAAAAGCGUUUGGCUGGAAUGUAUGAGACUUGCCAGUUUUCCUGAAGUCGCCAAAGGGUUGAAAUUCUAAAUAGGAAACUGCAAAUACUAAUGAUGUGGCCCCAAAAUAAAAAAAUAAUUAAUUAAUUUAAAAAAAAAAGAAAAAACCACAGAGGACCUCAUGCAAAAGCCAAUCAGGACAGUUAUAAUAGAGAAGGACUGAUGUUCUGUUGUGAGGCCUAUUCAAUCAAACCUAGAUAUUAACUCCUAAAAUAUAAGCAAGCUAAAAUAAUGCCAAGUGAUUGGAUUUCUGUUGUUAAGCUUAACAUUGAAAUAAGGCUAAAUGGGAAUUAUUGCCAAGUAUCAAAUUUAUAUAUAGGUCCCACAUAAUUUUAGAUCAAAUUUUGUAGAAUUCGUUUAUUUUCGAAGGCCUGUUUUACAACCUUUGAAACUUCCUUGGAGAAGAAAAGAUUCCAUCUAGAUCUUUGCAUUGGUACCAAGAGAUUUUACUAAGCAAGUAUCUUGUUUUUGUUGUUGUUGUUCUUUUUCCCCCUUUUUAAUGAGAAAUAAGAAAGUAAUUUAUCUUCAUUGAUGUUGUCAUCAUUAUUGCUUUUAACAAUUAGCAUCAUCAUCAAUCGACCUAAAAGUUUAUGCUAAUAGAUUAGUCAACUAUAGCCUUAACAGGCCAUCUGGAUUUUAUCAACUAUAGUAUUAACAGACCCUCUGAAUUUUAUUAACAGCCUUGUCAUGUGGAUCAAGCUAAAAUAGAAACUAACUUAGAUGCAGAUGAUAAUGCAAAUGCAAAUACAAAUCUGAAUGCAAUUAUAUGGGAGGUUUCAAAUAUAAGACCUCUUGGUCAAAUUAAUGUUCAUAUCAUAUUAAUUUUUUGUUUGGCUUAAAAGCAUAAAUUAUAAAGCUGGUCCUGACGAUUGUAUUUGAGUUCCAGCAAGUUAAUUAUGAUUAAGUUGUUAUAUCUUUUGACCAUAGUAGUAGUUUUGGUAGUGUUUCUGUGAGAAAUGACUACCUUUAUGUUUUUUUUUUUUUUUAAAUUUGUACAGCUGCGGAAACAUCUAAGUUCAGAAGAUCAUCCAUAUCAUAAGUUUAGCACACUGCCUUAGCCCUGUCCUAUCAUCUGUAUCAUGGGGUUCGUCAUUUAUUGACGGAUUUUUCGGGAUUUCUCUUUCUUAGAAUUGGAAGAAAAAGAUUGAAAUGAUUAUGAUUGUUCAAAAUUUCACCUAUACCUUUGACUUUGAGAUUCAAAAAAAAAAUUUUCAUUUUCUUAUUAAAUUUUACGUUGAUAGCUCUCUUCUUUAAAGCUUAUGCUGUAGAAGCUGACAUCGGGCUAUUGGCGUUUUAUCUGCAUCUUCCCGAACAAGACCCAGAAGGGCUUCGCUUUGUUUGGGAUGAACUCGCAAGGAGUCGACCCGAGGACUUCCCUCGUAGAGUGGCGUCUUUUAGAAUUAUAAGACAAGACUCUUUUUUCUUAGUGAAACUAAAAAAAAAGAGUUUGAGCUCUUUUGGUUUACCUGCUGUACGGCCAAGGCGGAUGUACGGUACAGCAGUAAAUUCAGCGAUCUUGCCAUCAUUCGUUUGGAUGUUAGUUCAAGAUUAUAACGAACAACAAUAACAACAAAUGUGAGGACUGAUAUUCUUAAUAAGACCAUCAAAAUAUCUCAAUCAACAGGAAUAGUGAGCAUUUCCUUGUAAAAUAGAAAGAAAGCUAUGACAGCGCGCGAAACAAGAAUUGAACGAAAAAUAAAAUAGAACAAAGCAAGAGUUAGUGAAAACAACAAUUCGGAAAGUCCUAAAUAUCUGAAGGCGGAGAGCCCCACAAAACAAAAUCAUGUUAUAUUUGUACGUUCGCAAACCGUCUUAUUAGGAAUAUUCUUGAUUAAUGUUUCUUUACGUGGGUUUCAAUUAUCUUAGUUUAUGGUUUAUAAAAAAGGGGUAGUUAACAAUAUUCUUAACUACCGAGUACUGAUCAUGAUAAGUUGCUUGUGAAUAGAAUCGUAUUUGAUGAGUUUUAUAGGCUAUGUCUGCGGUGCACGGUUUCAUUAUAUGAUUUUGCUAUUACCGAAAAAAUAUAAUGUCACUAGAUAUCAAAUGAUAUCUAUUAUCUAUGUAAGAAGUCAAUUUGAUAUAUGAUAAAUAUAUCAAUGAUUUAUCUUACAAUAUAUUCAGAAUCAGUUCAUUUACACAAAUUGUCAAAAUGGAAUUUUGCUAUAAAAGUAAUGCUUAAAUCGUAAACGAAUGAUCAAUCAGAGUAUAUGAUUAAUUAGCGCAUGCAUAAUUUGUGUAUUGUUCAUUGAGAGCUCAUUUUAUGCGACAAUAUAUUUGAUGUUUCUACAAUGAGUAGUGUAUAUAUAAAGCUAACUCGCUUCGUUGAGAUCAUUCAAAAAAAUUAAAAAUUAAAAUAUUAAAAAGUGUAUAUAUAAAGCAGUAGCUGGGUAUUGUUGUGGAUUAGGAUGAGACCACAUAGAUUAUAAAUGAACGGCAUAUUUUCAUUAUAGCCUUAAUUAAGUUCUCUUUCAUUUUUUUUUUCUAAUUAACAAAAUAUCAUUUAAACUUAUAAAAUAUUUGAGGAAAUUAAAGUUAUAUUGUUUUAGAAGUUUGUGUGUGUGGUUCAUGCCAAAAGCUUCCAAGCGUAAAUAAAUAUGAAGGCAAUCAAUUUGUGCCGCAGUGUUUAAAGAUAGUCAAGGUUACUUUUGAAUAGACAUUUCAGCCAACGUCAGAUUUCAUGAUGCCUAUCUACUACAAGAAGACGAUGGAAUCACUGAUGCCUUAAAAGUGAUUCGACGACUGCCUAAAGUGAUUCGACGACUGCCUUGUGGCGCUUAAGUAACGAACUCUCUUAAUCUUUCAACAGAAUUGAAAAAUAAGUACCUGGAUUUGAAGACCAACAUGAAUUGGAGCCAUGCAUGAGAUCAUUCAAUUCACAAAUUUUUAGAGAAGAGAAUGUUGCGCAAGAUUUAACGACUAAUAUGAAUUUGUGUUGUUCUAAUUUGACAUGAUGGAAUUGCGAAGAUCUUGAAAAAUUGAAUAACACUUUAUGAUAAUUUAUAAAUUAACCGUAAUACACAUUUAGAUUGAGAUAUUCUUUUGCAAUAAAGUAAGGAAGAGCUGCAUUCCAGACGUUAAUCUUAGCUGCCUAUACCACCACUGCUCGACAACACGAAUGUUUAUGUUAUAAAACAUGUGUAUAAAAUUAUUUAAUUAGUGAUUAAUUAUCUUAUAUAUUAGAUAAAACAAAGUGUACAUACUCUUAAGAAAGUUUGUACAAUAUAAGUCAUCACUUUAUAUUAUUUAGCAUAAUAACUUACCAAAGUUUAGUAAAAGGUUAAAAGUAUUACGGUUAAGACAUACUAAACAAAAAAAAAAAAAAAUGAAUAUGCUAAUAUAAUUAAUCUAAAGUAAAAGUAAAGUGUUUACUUGUUUAUGUCUAAAGUCUUAAUUUAGCUUGAUUUAAGAGGUUUUGAUAUUUUGGCUUGUUUGGUCUUGUAUCUCAAGUUUUAUUAUAAGAUAUUUUCAUUUGAAUAGAAAAAAUAAAAUUUCUUAAUUUUUAUCUGAAUGAUAAAAUGUCUCAAUAAAAAAUCAAAUUUUCUCACAAGUACUCUCAUUAAAUGAAUUUAUUUUUUACCUAACUAUUAUGUAAAACCUAAAAAUCCUUUGGUUUUUUUAAUCGAAAUGAUUUUUUUUAAUUAAUAACAUAAUUUAGAUGUCAUAUUAGAAUUUCUCUUGACCUCUACUUUUACUUAGUAUUAAAAUUUCUCUUGACCUCAACUUUUACUUGGUAUUAAUUACUUACAUUCAACCUGUGCAAAUUCUUUUAUUAUUUGAUAACAAUUGUUUUUAAUGUAUAAAUUUUAUGUUAAAUUGUGAAAAAAUAAUGUUAUCAAAAUUAUUUUUCUUAAAAUUUAUAUCAAAUGUUUACCUUAUAAAUAUUUAUAACAUAUAAAUAGCAUUGUACUAGAUAACACGAUAAAUAUAUACCUAUUUAAAUUAACUUCCGAGUAUGUAUAACACUUUCAAGGUUAUAAGUAUAAAAAUACCAGAUUUAAGAUGUUGAAAACUUACCAUUUACACUUGGACAUCAAAAAAUAAAAAAACAAACAUAUUAUCCAGAUAUAUACCUUCAGACCCAUUCAAAUUUUAAAUAAAAAAAUAAAUGCUACCUAAAAUUACCUAAAUCACGAAUAUAUAGUCAAAAUAAUUAUUUUCGAUUUUUUAUUUUUUUAAAUAUAGAGUGGUGGGGCAUUUGAAUUUAUAAAAUAUAAAUGACAUGUUCAACAGCCACAAAUUUAAACAGAAUUUUUGCCUUCAAAUCAGACAAGGAUGAAGGGUGAAGAUUAGAUAAAACGAACAAUUAAUUAAUUUAAUUUCAUUAAUAAUUUUUUCUCUAAUUUAAUGUUUAUCUUUACUCUCUCUGUUCUUCCCAUUGAUAACUUGAUAUGUUCUUCUUCUUUAAUAAUAUUAUUUCUCUCUCCAAAAUUUUAACUUGAACGAUUAGUUAAAUAAACCUACUUAAAAAUUACAUUCGAACUUGCAGUAUUAUAUGCUUUUUUGUGAUAAUAAUUUGAUAAUUUUGACGACAAUUAGUUUGAAGUCAACUGUCAGACGAACUAAAGCCUCUCUCUUCACUGCGUUUAUCAAAUGUUUCGCAUGCGUGCAGUAUCCAUCACCAACGACCCAGAUAUUAGUGUUGUAUAAAAGAUUCUCUUACAACCAAAUAUUAUUCAGUUUAUAGGGUAAUAAAUAACUAAUAACGUCGUUUUGGUCAAACUAAGUCAAUAACUAACUCUCUUUAGCGUAAAGGCUGUUAAUUCCUAAUAUCAAAAAAACAUAAGGGAGGUAUGUGAAAUUUGUCACAUAUUUAUUGAGGAAGCAAAUAUCCGUGACAGCCACAACACAAAAGCACAGGAGACUCGAGCAAAAACGUCUUGGUCUUUUUAUAAAAAAAUAAAAAAUAAAGUCUUGGUCUCGGUCAUUUCACUUGUGGAUCCCUAUAAAGCCAAAACGAUUGUUUCUCUCUUCUGCAAGAGACUGAAAAAAUGGCUGUCGGUAAAGAUGACGUAGAGAUUAUAAAGCCACGUACGGACAAGAGACAGUACCGGAGACUCGUCCUUAAAAACUCUCUUCAAGUCCUUUUGAUCAGCGAUCCUGAUGCCGAUAAGGUAAUCAACAAGACCCAAAUUUUUAAAAUUUUAUUUUUCAGUUUAAUUUAGCUAGUAAUCGUGUGGGUUUACUUUGGUUUAUUUUAUUGUUUUACCUUCAGUGUGCUGCUUCAAUGAAUGUCAGCGUUGGCGCCUUUUGUGACCCUGUUGGUCUCGAGGGCCUUGCCCAUUUUCUCGGUAUGUUUAAUGUAUCCUGUGGCAAAUUUGAAUUCGUGAUUUGGGGAAUUUUAGUCUUGUAUGAAUGUAAAUUGUAAAAGUUACUUCAAAAAAAAAAAAGGGGAUGGGUUUGUGUGAGAUGACUCUAAACGUGUUUUCGGAUGAUCACAGAUUAAAAUACAAUGUGUUGCUCAUAUUGAAAUUAGAGUAGAAAGAGUUAAACAGAAUUAGAAGUUUCACUUGUACUUUCUUUUUGGUUCAAGUAUUUCUUCAUUGUAUGUUUAGGCUUGUUUAUUUCCUGUUAAAGUUAUAGCAUUGUUUCGUUCUCGGUUCUUUCAUCUCUUCCUACUUUGCCUACUUUCUUUUCCCUUUUCACUGUUUGUUAUUAUCAUUGAUAUUUUUUUUUUUAAAUUCUGUUGUGUGGUGAUUUAUUGGAUGAUUCUUUUACUCUCCUAUUCUACAUUAUUAUUGCUUUUAGCUGUAGUUAGAUAAUUAUAUGGCUGUAGGGGACAAUUUCUGUGGCCUGUUUAAUGAGUUCGAGUAUUUAUAACUUGCUUUAGUUACUGUUUUCCUGUUUCUUUAAUGUGCAGAGCAUAUGCUGUUUUAUGCUAGUGAGAAAUAUCCAGUGGAGGAUAGCUAUUUAAAGUACAUAUCAGAGGUAUUGGCCCUCAAUAAUGUCCUGUUUCACUUAUUUCUAGUAUGUUUUCUUAAGUAAAAGUUUCAGAGAAUCAUGCUUUAUGCUUAAUCUUGCUCUUUGAUACUAAUAAUAGACUUUAACUAGAAGUGGAUGGAGUUGGCGAGAUACACAGACAAGGAAAAAAAUUUUGAAUGCUAUUCCCUUGGAAUAUAACUGACUAAAAAGACACAUUUUCCCUCCAGAGGAAAAUCUUAACUUUUUUGUUAAUCAGGUGUUUGCUAAAAACAAAAUCCUGAAGCAAAUUCUUCACUUGAUUUGUAGGGCUGAUGGGAGUUUUAGUUUUAAUUACAUUCCUCUAUUUUCCUGCAAGCCAUUGCGGUCAGAUUGUAUCUUAGUGAUUGGAAGUGGAAAAGGUAUUCUUGUUUAAAUUUACAGCCAUGGAUUGUUCUAUUGUGGAAUGGGGUGAUGACUCCAUUUAUGUUCUUUUCUCUGUGGAGCUGACCCAUAACCGGAUUGGAUUUAGAUGUAGUCAGUUUAUUCAACAAGGGUUUAGAAAGUUCGCUGGCACGGUGGUCUAUCAAUUUCUUGUGAUAUGAUUUGAUAAUGUUUGGUAAUGUAGUCGAAAAAAAUACUUUAAUUGUCAAUAUGUAUUCUUACCGUUCUAAGUGAUGCUGUGGACUUUCCAUGCAUUGACUGAUGUAUGCUGGAGUGAAAAAUUAUGAAUUACAUUGUGAACAUGAUCCUCUCAAGCUGUCUUUUGAUACUUGAGACAACUUGUGCCAGAAAUUUCCUUUUUACUUUAGAUUUUAUGUCUUUAGGUUACUGAUCUUGCAUAGUGUCAGGGUGAUGAUUUAGAUAAUAUUGCAAUAGUGAAUAAUGACCACAGCCUUACUACGGGUUGUUGAAAGCACAUCCUAAGACUAGUUGUGAUUCCACAUCCUAUCUUUGCUUAUGUUUUCUAGUAGAGUCAUUGGGUGGUGGUUUGGUAUUGUUUAUGGUUAACAUUGAUCUUAAAUACAGUUUGAGAAAUGUGAAGAGGAAUCCGGAGUCUGAAAUUUGUUUUUAUUUUUAAUUUUGAUAUAUAAUAUAUUGGGGAAGCAACUCUAGAGACCUUGUAGGAAAGAUGGUUUGUGGGUGAUUAUUAUGGCACUGCAAUCUUCUUUACGGGAUAAAGGAAUACCUCCUACCUAGGUCCUUGGUACAGGUGUCCUGUUUUGAUUGGCGCAUUCAUCCUAAGACUAGUUGUGAUUCCACAUCCUAUCUUUGCUUAUGUUUUCUAGUAGAGUCAUUGGGUGGUGGUUUGGUAUUGUUUAUGGUUAACAUUGAUCUUAAAUACAGUUUGAGAAAUGUGAAGAGGAAUCCGGAGUCUGAAAUUUGUUUUUAUUUUUAAUUUUGAUAUAUAAUAUAUUGGGGAAGCAACUCUAGAGACCUUGUAGGAAAGAUGGUUUGUGGGUGAUUAUUAUGGCACUGCAAUCUUCUUUACGGGAUAAAGGAAUACCUCCUACCUAGGUCCUUGGUACAGGUGUCCUGUUUUGAUUGGCGCAUUCAUCCUAAGACUAGUUGUGAUUCCACAUCCUAUCUUUGCUUAUGUUUUCUAGUAGAGUCAUUGGGUGGUGGUUUGGUAUUGUUUAUGGUUAACAUUGAUCUUAAAUACAGUUUGAGAAAUGUGAAGAGGAAUCCGGAGUCUGAAAUUUGUUUUUAUUUUUAAUUUUGAUAUAUAAUAUAUUGGGGAAGCAACUCUAGUGACCUUGUAGGAAAGAUGGUUUGUGGGAGAUUAUUAUGGCCUGUAAUCUUCUUUACGGGAUAAAGGAAUACCUCCUACCUAGGUCCUUGGUACAGGUGUCCUGUUUUGAUUGGCGCAUUCAUAUUUUGGUAGCAGAAGUACUGAAGUAUGUCUUUCAUGUAGUUUUGCUUCCCUGUCUUGAGCUUUAUUUGCAUUAUUUAUAGAAAUCUGGUUCGCUCCAGAGAUUGAUCAUUUCCUUUUUAAUUUGGCCCCCUGCGUAUGGGUGGUAUCACUGGUAUGUUCCUUGAUGUGUCUGUUUGGAGAGUGCACUUUUUGUUCUCUUUUAAGGGCACAGCAUGGAGGAAUGGCAAAUGCGUUUACAUCUUCUGAGCAUACAAACUACUACUUUGAUGUAAACCCUGACUCCUUUGAAGAAGCUUUGGACAGGUACAUGCCAUUUUUCAUUUUUCUUAAGUAUCAAAUCUUUCAGUACUUGAGUUUUUGAGUCUGAGUCUUUCCUGUGAUUUACUGCACAGAUUUGCACAGUUCUUUAUUAAACCGUUGAUGUCAGCUGAUGCUACCAUGAGGGAGAUUAAAGCAGUUGAUUCUGGUUAGUUGUUCAUUGUAGAGUCUAGCGCAUUAAUGUACUUUCAGAAUCAUGUUUCAUUAUCAUUAAUUCAGUUCCGCUUUCCUUCCUCCUCCCUCGCUUGUAUCCAGAGAACCAGAAAAACUUGUUGUCUGAUGUUUGGAGAUUAAACCAGGUAUUGCUUACUUCCAUUAAUUUAAUAUUUGGAGAUGAUUUUUCCUUGGGUUUCUAUUUUCUAAGUUAUAUCAUUAUAUCAUUUGUUAUCAUUCACAAGAGAUCUUGGACUCCAUUGCUGAGCCUGAGUAUCAGUUUUGAAGUGAAAGUUCUCCUUCAUAAAGCUUUAUUUUAUUGCUGCAACUUGUGUAUCUUUUUUUUUUUCCCUUUUUUCUGGUUGCUAUCCUAUGUUCUUUGGUAUAAGAAGUGCUCCAUUGAACUGAAAAAAAACCUGAACAUGCACAGACAUCUGACCUUUGGCCAUUAUUUGAAUAGAUUGAGAUAUAAUUUGCUAAAAUUGAUAUUCCUUGGUUGAACUCGUAACACAAUAAAAUUUGGUAAGAAGAAAUAAAUUAUUAUAAGCUGGUGUUUUAUGGCACAAGGGUAUUGGGGAUUGUAUAGGUCUUCUUCUCUUAUAAUGCCUUUUGAUUGGUGAUCUAUGGAAUAUGGUCUGUCAUUCUUCAUAGCUUAGUGUUCUAGGUUCAAGAAAAUUUUAGCAGUGUUGAUUAGUUGAAAAAUGGAUGAAUGGUAAUGGACUUAGCUUGGUUUGGGGUCUUUCUGUUGUACUCAUCUUCCAAAAAAUCAUUUUCACUCGUCCUUUUUUGGAAUUUUUAGAGAUCUUAAACACUAUGCUUUUGUUUGGUUAUGUUUCCGGUGUUUCUUAUAUAUUUCCCAUGUACCACAGUUGCUCCACAUUUUUGGUACUGCUUUUGUUAUAAAUUUUUUACGUAUAAAUAGAAAAAAAUAGGGCUUUACUUGAUAAUGGAAAUUGGCAUGUGAAGUGCUUAUUGCUUGUAUCUGUUAAAAGAGUGCAGGUCCUCUUUUUUGUUAGGUGCCGAUAUUAUGGUACAAAGGGUGGCUUAAGAGUUGAAAUUAUGUGUAGAAUUUUGAAUUUUGAAAGGAUAUUGAUCAGAGUAGCAUUUGAGACCAAAAUAUCAGGUUAAGACAGUGUUCCAUGCUGCUUUACUUGGUUGUGAACAGUAAUCCAAGAAAGAGGAAUAAAUAGAUAUAUUCAUCACAUGUAAUGUAUAGUGCCUCAGCGUCAAUUUUUUCCCAUACGCUUAUAUCACAUGAUUCUAAGGAGUGCAACUGAUCUUCAUUUAAAAGCUUUUGGCUGGAAUGUAUGAGACUUGCCAGUUUUGCUGAAUUCGCUAAAGGGUUGAAAUUCUAAAUAGGAAACUGCAAAUACUAAAGAUGUGGCCCCAAAAAGAAAAAAACCACAGAGGACCUCAUGCAAAAUACAAUCAGGACAGUUAUAAUAGAGAAGGACUCAUGUUCUGUUGUGAAGCCUAUUCAAUCAAACCUAGAUAUUAACUCCUAAAAUAUGAACAAGCUAAAAUAAUGCCCAGUGAUUGGAUUUCUGUUGUUAAGCGUAACAUUGAAAUAAGGCUAAAUGGAAAUUAUUGCCAAGUAUCAAAUUUAUAUAUAGGUCCCACAUUAAUUUAGAUCAAAUUUUGUAGAAUUCGUAUAUUUUCGAAGGCCUGUUUUACAACCUUUGAAACUUAAUUGGAGAAGAAAAGAUUUCAUCUAGAUCUUUGCAUUGGUACCAAUAGAUUUUACUAAGCUAGGAUCUUGUUUUUGUUGUUGUUCUUCUUCUUUUUCCCCCUUUUUAAUGAGAAAUAAGAAAGUAAUUUAUCUUAAUUGAUGUUGUCAUCAUUAUUGCUUUUAACAAUUAGCAUCAUCAUCAAUCGACCUAAAAGCUUAUGCUAAUAGAUUAGUCAACUAUAGCAUUAACAGGCCAUCUGGAUUUUAUCAACUGUAGUAUUAACAGACCCUCUGAAUUUUAUUAACAGCCUUGUCAUGUGGAUUAAGCUCAAAUAGAAACUAACUCAGAUGCAGAUGAUACUGCAAAUGCAAAUACAAAUCUGAAUGCAAUUAUAUGGGAGGUUUCAAAUAUAAGACCUCUUGGUCAAAUUAAUGUUGAUAUCAUAUUAAUUUUUUGUUUGGCUUAAAAGCAUAAAUUAUAAAGCUGGUCCUCACGAUUGUAUUUGAGCUCCAGCAAGUUAAUAAUGAAUAAGGUGUUAUAUCUUUUUACCAUAGUAGUCGUUUUAGUAGUGUUUCUGUGAGAAAUGACUACCUUUAUGUUUUUUUUUUUUUUUUAAUUUGUACAGCUCUGGAAACAUCUAAGUUCAGAAGAUCAUCCAUAUCAUAAGUUUAGCACCGGUCAGCAACUUACUUGACUCUCUCUCCGUUCUUUAUUACAAAGUGUUACAUUCUGUUAUACUUUUCCAUUUAUCAUUUUCUUCGUUUUAGUAAUUUUUCAGAGUCUUAUGAAAAAAUGAUUUAAGUAUUUCCAAGUUGUUCUGUCGAUGUCUACAAUUCAUUGUGUUCACAAUUUCUUUUUCCUUUCACCUUUUCGCUCUAGUUUCUGCAUAUUGUGUUUCAACGAGAUAGACGUUUAUAUCAAAUACUUGUUGAUGUUUAGGUAACUGGGAAACUUUGGAAGUUCGACCAAGAGCGAAAGGAUUGGACACAAGGCAUGAGCUCAUUAAGUUUUAUAAUGAACAUUACUCUUCCAACCUCAUGCAUCUGGUUGUGUAUUCAAAAGGUUAGGAACUAAUUCUUCCUGCUGUAUUUUGGCCUUGACUGAAGUACUCUGAGAUAUAAUGACCAACCCUAUGUGAUGGAUGUUUCUAGAAAGUGUUGAUAAAAUUCAAGGUCUAGUGGAGAAUAAGUUUCGGGACAUUAGGAACACUGAUCGAAAUCGUUUCCGUUUUCCUGGUCAGCCUUGCACAUCAGAACAUUUACAGGUAUGGUCAAGUUCUAUGUGGUGACAAAGGGUCUCAAGGGACACUGCAGAAAGUAGGAAAGAACUUUUUCUUUGUUUCAAAUUUUCCUAGUUUAUAUUUUUUGCUUCAGAUUCUUGUCAGAGCUGUUCCAAUUAGACAAGGUCACAAACUAAGAAUUGGAUGGCCAAUAACUCCAAGCAUUCAUCACUACAAGGAAGCACCAGGCAGAUAUAUCAGUCAUCUUAUUGGGCAUGAAUCAGAGGGAUCAUUGUUUUUCAUCUUGAAAACAUUGGGUAGGUUCUGCUUAUCCUUUAUAUUUCUGAUUCUCAAUUUACUUGCAGCUUUCGGUUGCAUCCUGAAACUUUUUUUUUAUUUGAAAACUUAACCAAGUUUCAGUGUCCAUAAUUUGUGUUCCUACAUGUUUAGGCUUGAGAUGCUUCUUCUUUACUAGUUCAGAAUGAAUUGUUUUUGUGAAUUUGAAUAGUAAAAUACAUAAAACAAUGAUAUUUUCAAUUUUUUUAAGAUCUUAAGAGACAAAUGGUUCUGUUUAGAUUUUCACUACAGUGUAUUUCUCAUUGUCCCCCCCCCCCAACAAGUAUUCAAUGCCUACUCUGUCAUAUUUCCAUUGUGUGGAUGUUAGAAACAAUUUACAAAGCUACUGCAUGUUAUGCUUUCUUGAGGGACUGAUUUUCCUCUAGAAUUUUAAGAAUCACUGCUUGAUGCAAACAGCUUAUUGGGGAUGAAGCACUCUCUGAUCCUCAUUUCAUGGCUGGAUUGUUGAUGACUUAGGUUAACGUCUACUGAAAUCUGUACAAUUUGUCUUGAUAUAAGUCUUGAUAUAAGCACAAGUUUCAGGGUGGGAAGAAGUCUUGAUAUAAGCACAUGUAUGUUCUGGUUGAUAAUGUCUGUGUUUGUUUUGUGUAUAAAGAUCAAAGUGGAAUUUGAUGACACUAGCUCAGGGUCUUUGGUUAUCCACACCAAAAUUUUUCACCUUUGAAAGGCCAACUGACCAGUCACCUCUUUUUGAAAUAAAUUUUUGCAGGAUGGGCUACAUCAUUGGCUGCAGAUGAAGGAGAUUGGACUUUGGACUAUUCAUUCUUUGAAGUUACAGUUGAUCUUACUGAUUCUGGUCAUGGUAAUGCAGUUGUAUUUCGCACUGCAUUUAAUUGAAUGUGAUUCAUUAUAAUCAAUUGAUUUACUUUGUUCUGCUAGAAUAUGCAAAUAACUUCAAUUUGUAGAUCUUUUGGGUUAAAAAAUUUUCCCCCCUUGAUUGACUAGCAGAGCACAUGCAAGAUGUUGUGGGGUUGUUAUUUAAAUACAUAAACCUUUUACAGCAGUCUGGUGCUAGCAAAUGGAUAUUUGAUGAGGUAUGAUGACGCAUCUUGUUAAUUGCUACUGUUGCAUAGUAUUAUUGUUAGUUACGUGUUGCUUGCAUUCGUGCAGUCUUGCCUCUUUGUAGGAUGCUUCUGUUGAAGAGCAUAGUGGUAGGAUGAUUGAUUUGCAUUAAAUUUUCUACCAGAGAAUGUUGGGGUUUGGCUGUUAGCUCAGUAUCUACUUUGCUUCUUAUUUCUACUACUACUAUUAUUUUGUUGUCAGAAACAAGAGGUUAUUUGACUCUGCUAAUGGCAUUACUUUUUAGUUGCAAGAUACUAUUAUUGUUCGAUAGUUUGUUCUUACGAUGCUGUUGGAAAAGUUGGUCUUUUGGAUAAUGACUCCUCAUUGUAAUUGGCCAUGUCAAUGAUGUAUAUGUAGAAAUGUGAAAAGGUGCAACUAUGAUAGUUGCUAUUCAAACGUUACUUGCAUGCUAUUGUUAAGUUUCAGGAUUAUAGUUGAAACAGGAAGAAUAUGUUCUUGUAGAUGAUGUAUCUUAACGGAUGCUUUUAAGAUAUAGUUCUGCUGACCACCAGAGAUUUGAGUAUAGCCAUCCACAGUAUAUCCACUGAAGGUUUGAGAAUAGUUUUUACUCGGUGUAAAGGAAAAAACAUUGCAUCAAAUUUAUUGCCCUCUAGUUUUUCUUCCUUUUAUACUUUCAUGCAAUCUGAAAGGAAGGAAAGUUCAUGACAGCAGUCCAACACAUCAAUGAGUCUGGCUUUGUAUUAUUAUCAUGCAUUUUACGUCUUUCAUAAUAUUUUAAAAGUUUUGUCAUGCUGUAGUCUUGCUUGAAGGAUAAUCGACUCUCUCCUUGUCAGUACCUCAAUUGUUUACUAUUUAUUGAAUUUGCAUCUGGAAGGUUUCCUGUCUUGUUUUCAGCCUAUCUAGUCUUCAACAUUCUGACAUUUUAUUUAUCUUAUGAAGCUUUCAACUGUUUGUGAGGUGACAUUUCAUUAUCAGGAUAAAGUCCCCCCGAUUGACUAUGUGGUUACUGUUGCUGCCAAUAUGGAGGUAUAUGUUCUUUUCCAUUUUGUAAAGUUAAUCCUCCUGGGUUGAACGAAAUAUCCAGUUUUAUUACAUUGUUUAAAAUAAUUGGAAUAGUGUAGGAGUAUAGCUAGAGGAACUGAUUGUGAGGCAUAGCUUCUAACACCACUUGAAACACUAGAAAAUACCUUUAUCCGAUGAUUGAUUGAACGAAAAAUAUGGUUAUCUUGCCUGCCUCAUUGUCUCAUUCCCUUGCACAUAAAGGUGUUUUUGUUUAAUGUUAGAUAUAGAAUAAGUGGAUAUGGUGAGUAGAUUAAUAAUCUUGUUCUACCGUUGUUUUUGAAUCCUGGACCUCUAUUUUUAGAUUCCCAACAGCUUUUUGCAAGAACUAAUCUUUGUGCUAUUCUUAUAGACAGUUUACAAAUUUGGCUUUCUUUUCUUUUUUCUACAUUUUAAGGAUUAUUUGGGCUUGUGAAUCAUGAACUGGUAGCUGAUUGACAUCUUUCUUUUGCAGUUUAUUUUUUGAUUGUGAAUUGAGUCAAACUGUUUUUUCUGUUAGUAAAUGAUGCCUUGAAAUUAUUUUUCAGACAUAUCCUCCUCAAGACUGGCUAGUGGGUGAAUCAUUGCCUUCCAAUUUCAAUCCAGAGAUUAUUCAAAUGACUUUGAAGGAGCUUUCUCCAAAAACUGUUAGGUAAGUUUGUAAGCGCUUAGAGAGUGUUUGACUCAGUGCAUAUGAAGAAUGACGCACAUAUUUCCAUUAUUUGAACUUUGUAUAUAACGUCUGUUCUGAUUUGAUUGUUAAAAAAUUUAACUUUAGUUCACUAUUUUGUUGGACAUGGUACCUGAUUCUGGUACAAGUUAUCUAAACUUCAUUUAAGCAUUUGACUUAUCGUUGAACUUCUAUGGCUGGAUGAUGUUUGAUUUUUAUCAUUCCCAUUCUUCUUGCUAUCAGAUAAGUUCUUUUUCUUGUAAAAUAAUUUUGUCUGGCUUUAAGGUAUUUCAUGUGCAUGCGAAGCCUUAUCUGCUGUAAUAUAACUAAGUGUUUGCUUCCCAUUGCUUUAUGUUUAAAAGAAAAGGGAAACAUUUCGAUAUCAUUGUAUUGCCAAUGACUUGGUUUAGCAGUUUCGGAUUUGAUACUUUGUUUUCAAGAGUAAUUACUUGCAUCUUUCUGCUUGUUGGUAGUAAUGCUCAAGGACAUGUUUGUGUCUGAUAAUUCAUGUACAAUUGGCUGUCUCCAUCUUUCAAUCAAAGUCAGACUAUUGUGAUUGACAGAUUGUCUGCUUUCUAACAAGCUCUCUGUUUAUCAGAAUUUUUUGGGAGUCAAAGCAAUUUGAGGGGAAAACAGAGAUGGUUGAGCCUUGGUAUGGUACUGCUUAUUCCGUUGAGAACAUCAAUGAGUCCAUAAUUCAGGUUCGUUGUUUGAUUUUAAAUAUGAUAUGAUUCAUUAUUCUAGUAAUAAUAACAGUUGUCAAUGUCCUUGGAGGCAAAUGGCUAUUAGAAUGAGAUGGAGGGUGAGGUUGCAGGGUUUCUCUUUUGGUUCAUGGAUAUGAUUUCCAAGAGGGAAAAGUUCAUAUUAGAUUGGAGUGUAUGCUAUUUAUCUUGUCCCACAUUCAGUGGAAGCAGCUAAAUAAAUUUUGGUGAUUAGAGCAGCUUGAAGGAAGGAAUUGAUGAGUCUUCAAAAUCUUUAUUUGUUUCCAGGACUGGAUACUGUCUGCUCCUAAGGAAAAUCUGCAUCUCCCAGCUCCUAAUGUCUUCGUCCCCACUGACUUGUCUCUUAAGGAUACACAAGAGGUCUGAGGAUUUUUUUUUCCCCAUCUUUACAGUAAAAUUUAUUGUGAUGUGUUCUCUUUAAAGCAAUUGUUCUUUGUAACAGGCCAAAUUCCCAGUUCUGUUGAGAAAGUCAUCCUAUUCAACAUUGUGGUACAAGCCUGACACAAUGUUCUCUACACCCAAGGCAUUUGUUAAUAUUUAUUUCAACUGCCCCCAUGCUAGCAGCUCUCCUGAAUCUGAAGUUCUGACUGAUAUUUUCACACAGUUGUUACAUGACUAUUUGAAUGAAUAUGGUAAGAUGCUGGAUAAAUGUUGUAGGAUGUUGAUGUAGGAUUGGACAAAUGACUAUUCCUUUUCUUUUAACUAUUGUUUUCAUUCAUUUUAUUUGGAAACAGACAAACUUUUAUAGAAUAAAUAAAGGGGGAAAGAUUUCCAAAGUAAACUAGAGUUCCACAUACUAAAAUUUCAUUGAAGGAACAGAUUAUUUCCAAAGGGCUUCCCAUACCUGAUCCCUUUAUUUAGGUUUAGUUGAGUUGAGAGAGGUCAUGUGUUGAUUUUGUUUGAUUGGGCUUUUUUCACAUUUUAGUAAAUUUUGGGAUUUGCAUGCUGUUUGAGGUAUAGAUAUGCGUCUGUUCUAUAUGGUUAGUAGGUAGCUUUUUUUGGGCUGUCUUUGUUUCCCCUGUGAACCUCUGGUUCACUUCCAUAUCAUCUUCUCUUUCAUUUUGAUAAAAUUCUUAUGUUUCUGGUAUAGAGCAUAACUUCCACAAUUUACAUAAUUUCUGUAUUUGUGAAUAAAAUUAAAUUUUUUCCUUACCCAUCAUAUCUUUAUGUAUCAGCUUACUAUGCUCAGGUUGCUGGGCUUUAUUAUGGGAUAAACCACACUGAGGGUGGUUUUGAGGUAUUUUUUUUCACUUGUCUUUGAUAUUUAUCUCAUGUUGGUAUGUAUUUUUAUGUGUUGAUUUUAUGGUUUUUGCUUCUACAGGUUACAGUGGUUGGAUAUAAUCACAAAUUGAGGAUCUUGCUGGAAACUAUUUUUCAAAAAAUUGCACAAUUCAAAGUCCAACCUGACAGGUUUUCUGUGAUUAAGGUAAUGAUUUAGGCUUAAAAUAUUUGACCUGUUUGACGUUGAACGUUAUUUUCUUUUAUAAUCUUAAACAUCUAACUGAAUCAAAGUACUAGUAUUAUUUGUUUAUAAUUGGGAGCUUACAAUAAUUUUCUUUGGUUGUGCUGUUCCAAAGCCUGCAUAGCUUUGGUUGUUUUGAGCUCCAAAUCAGUAACAUGGCUUUUCAGCAUGAAGGCUUUAGGGGUGUGCAUUUGGGUGUGGGCAUGCAUUGUAUCUUUUUCUUUCAUCUUUUACACCUGGAUUCCAUUCAUGUGGAUGCACAUGCAUAAGCAACCACAAGCCCCCAGAAGUGGAUCUUCACUGUGGUAGGGGCAUACUAAAAUAUUAAGGGUAAAAAAUAUAUUUUUGUUUAUAUAUCCUACUCUGUUUAGAAAGAUGUAUAAAUUGAUUAUUAAAGUGUAUAAGCUGUUUCUAAAAAUGUUUUAGCACCGUUUUUUAGUUCUUCCGGAACUUGCAUUUGAUGGUUCUGUGAGCGACUCCUCAACUGGUUGAACUUUUGACUUAACAAUCCCCAUUUGCACUGUAUGGAACCAUUAUCAUGUUGCUUCCCUUGGUGAGUCUGUUAUGAACCCAAGCUGUUCAUGUAUGAAUAAAGUUUUUCAUUCCCUUUAUUUAUUUGCAGGAAAUGGUGACAAAAGAAUACCAUAAUAAUAAGUUUCUACAGCCAUAUCAACUGGCUAUGUACUACUGCUCUCUAAUACUUCAGGAUCAAACGUGGCCUUGGACGGAAGAACUUGAAGUUCUUCCUCAUCUUGAAGCUGAAGAUCUUGCUAAAUUUGUACCCAUGAUGCUCUCUAGGACCUUCUUGGAAUGUUACAUAGCAGGUCCUUCUGUUUCAAUUUUUUAAUGGCAUUGUUUGAGAUUUCGGUCGCUCCUUUUUGUUUCCAUUUAUGAUCUCAUUACUUUCAUUUGUUCUCAGGAAACAUUGAAUCUAAUGAAGCAGGAUCGAUUAUCCAGUACAUUGAAGAUGUUUUCUUUAAGGGCUCAAACCCAAUAUGCCAACCAUUGUUCCCAUCCCAGCAUUUGACUAAUAGAGUUGUUAAACUUGAAAAGGGCAAGAAUUAUGUGUACUCCAACCAAGGCCUGAAUCCUAGUGAUGAAAAUUCUUGCCUAGUCCAUUAUAUUCAGGUACAAGAAUUUUUUUUAGAAAAAAAAAAAGGAAAAUAAUGAUUUAAUUAAGUGCUUUGGCUGCUGAUAUACGUGUUCUAUGCUGCGUCUAUACUCCUUGUAAAAUUAAGCAGCUGGUAUUCUGCAUGCAUUUCUUAUCCCUUCUAAUACUUGAAAAGCUUUGAAAGUAUCUUUUUGGGAAGAGGAUAAAAUCUUGAGCAGUAUUCUAAUUGUUAUUGGGACACAUGUUUAUCACUAGUGUAUUCUUUCUUCCCAUUGUUGUAUCGUAGUUGGAGGCAUUGAUUUCAAAUUUUCGAUAUUUUCAUGAAAAGGGAAUGAAAUACUGAUAUUUGUUACAACGAAUAUUUUCUGCCAAGUUGUUACCCUUUGUUUUUGUUGGGUGGUGGGGCGGCGCUGAAAAGCAGAAAAAAAGAGAUUAGUAAGUAGUUGAGCCUUUUUCCUUCUUUUCACGGUAAAUUGACCCCCGCACAUGAUGUAGGGCGGUUUUUGCUUUAAAAUGGCUUUGUUUGGGCCGUCAUUUCUUGAUGAACAAUGGUUUGCCUCUUUACUGUCCGUAUGAUUAGGUUAUUCAGCUAAGACCCUAAACUACUAAACAAACUGUGAUUAAGGAAUAAUUAUGGUAAUGUUUUCGCCAUUACUUUUAAGACAAACGUACAGUGUGUAUUAUUUAUGUGUUGAUGUCUGCCAUUACUUUCAGACAGCACAAACUGUGAUGAGAUCUAUUUAUAUGUUGCUUUUGCCAUAACUUUAAGUGAAUUACAUGUCAUCCAACGGUUCUUUAUGCAUGUUGAUGAGGCUCUGAACUUAAGCUCUGAAGAAAUAGUUUUUUGUCCAAUUUCUUGAAAAUAUAUAUCUUGUGCUAAGCGACAUUGGUUUUCCUCGAGCAUUCCUUGAUUCAUGGAGUUAAUAUUGUUUUGUUGCAUUAGAAUUAUAUGGUUUUGGGACAGACUGGUAUGGAUUCUGAAAUGUAGGUUAUUGGUACCCAUGCAACAGGGAUAAUAGAUGUACGAGUCAAACAAAAUCUUUUACAUGUUUCUUGAUCUCUAUUUGACCGGACCAAUUGUUUCUGUGGGGGGUCUGAUGCGAUUCUGAUGUCAUGUCAUGUCAUGUCAUGUUGAGUUGUUCAGGUUCAUCGAGAUGAUUUCCUCAUGAAUGUGGCACUGCAGCUUCUUAAUCUUAUUGCAAAACAACCAGCUUUCCACCAGCUUAGAACCGUUGAGCAACUUGGGUACAUUACAGCACUCCGGCGGAGGUACAUAACUUGAGGUCCCUAGUUCUCCUUCAGCUUGGAAUAUUUGCUUUAAACUUAGCUAUCUACUUGAUGUAGGAAUGAUUUUGGUAUCCAUGGAGUGCAGUUCAUCAUUCAAUCCUCAGUAAAGGUUAUAGCAUAGUUUUGUUCUUUGAAUAUGCACAUUGACAGCAUUAUUGUCGCUUUGGCUCAAGUGCUCUGUCAAUUUAACAGGGUCCGAAGUAUAUUGAUCUGAGAGUUGAAUCAUUUCUCCAGAUGUUUGAAAGUAAACUUUAUGAGAUGACCAGUGACCAAUUCAAGGUGAGACACAUUUCUAUUCUACAUGAGUUAUUCUGAUCUGUGUUUUCACUGAUGAGAUUGUUUUUAUAAGCACUACAGAAGGUUGGAAGUUAUUAUAUCAGUAAUGCUCAAGUUUGAUGCUCAAAUCUUUUACCAACAGAAUUAUCAAAAGAAUCAUUUGGAUAACAUGUUUUGAAUAGAGAAAGUACUUCCCUAAUCUUAAUUCUAGACUAUUAACUUAUAUACAUAUGCCAAGGCUUUGACAGUUGCUAUUAUUAUGAGAUAAAUAUGAUAUUAUUCCAUCUUUUUAUCAUCAUUUUGUCAUAUCCUAUUCUUGAAAUGCAAUGGAACUACAUUAAGUACAAAGAGAUUGGUGAUAUUAAAAGAGAGAAUAUUCCUUAUCAAUUUUUCUGUAAUUGCAUAUAUUGUCCCAGUCUCAGCCACUUUUUUCUUUUUUGUGAAAUUAUUAUAUUCUUGAUAAUCCCAGAUAGAUAUUCUGUUUAUAUGAGUGUUUUUGGAUAAAAUCUGCCCGGCUGCUUAACAGUGAAAAUGGCAUUUUUUUGUAGAACAACGUAAAUGCAUUGAUUGACAUGAAGCUUGAGAAACACAAGAAUUUAAAGGAAGAAUCUGGAUUUUACUGGCGUGAGAUUUCUGAUGGGACCCUCAAGUUUGAUCGGAGGGAGGCUGAGGUAUGGGAAUUACUAUCAAUUUAUUUAUUUAUUUUUCACCAAGUCAGGUUAAGACUUUUGUAUGUUUGAAGAUUUAUUUUCAAUUUUUUUUUUUUUUGGAGAAAAAGGUAAACCAAGAGACAUGAAGAACGCAGCCUCUGCUCUCUGUAAACCUUCUUAGGGGCCUGAGCAAAUUAAAAUUAUCCUUUUCACUUGUAGUUGAGUAUUCAUGUCCUGAAGUUGUUGGUUUACACAGUAUUAGUGUUGAAACAGGUUGCAGCACUGAGGCAGCUGACACAACAAGAAUUGAUUGACUUUUUCAACGAGAAUAUUAAAGCUGGUGCACCCCGGAAGAAGACACUGAGUGUUCGAGUGUAUGGGAGGCUGCAUGCACCCGAGUGGAAGGAAGAAACUAGUGAAUCAGCUGAGCCUCACAUUGUUCACAUAGAUGAUAUUUUCAGUUUCAGAAGAUCACAACCUCUCUAUGGUUCAUUCAAGGGUGGUUUUGUUCAAAUGAAGUUGUGAGGUGUCGAAUCUUUACAUCUGAGUCUGUUCAUAAAGAAGACUCUGCAACCACAGGAAGAGAACAGCGGAUUUCAAACAAGCUUCCACAUCAACUAUGAAAAAGAUGGGUGCCCGUAAAUCCAUUGAUCA